rnacentral:lncRNA from 1 species
GGGAGCAGUGGCUCCAGGUUGUACUAAUGUAGGAAGGAAAUAGCCAGCAAAGAAGUUGGAGGUCACAUAGGUAUAGGGAAUUCCUUCAGCCUCAAUAGCUCGGCGGAUUUGAACUUUGAUAGCAAACACUGAUUUUGCUGGCUCAACAGCAUGGAGACGGUCCACAUCAUUUCCAAACUCUGAUGGGAGGAAUCUCUGGAUAAAGUAAAGCAUUAUGAGAAGAAACCAUGUCAUUCAAUGUAUGAAAAUUAAUCCCCAGUAGUCCAUUUAGUCAUAUUAGUUCUCAUACAGACAUCAUAUAUAUAUAUUUGAUCCACACACUUGCUAUCAGUUUUAGUUUGAAUGAUGGAAGGAAUAAGAGAUCCUAUCAAGAUAUAUACCUGUAAGAAAAAGAAAAGAGAGACAAAAAGGAAGAAAAAAAGGAAACGGUAGGAGGAAGAAGAACCAAGUAUUCUGAUGAUAAAUUGGGAAAAAAACUCCUGAUACUAUACAUGUUGUAGGUUUUGUUUUGAAUUGGGAGAUCCAUUGGACCCAAAAUGAACAAUAACUGUGUGGGAGGGAGAAUGGUGUUCCGAUCCCCUGCAAAUAAUAUCUACAUGGGAGGGAGAAUGGUAUUCGGAUCCCCGUCCGUCGGACUUUGUCUACCCUCCCAAAUCGGAAGUUAUUUGCACUGUAUAUGUAGUGAUACUGGGAUAAUGAGCUCUCUUAAGUAUGUAGAGGCAGGUUUAAACUUUUCCUUUUUAUGUUGACUUCGUAGAUCAGAAAAACGCUCAACAUCCCUAACCUAGAAGAAGAUUUUAUUGUAUUAUAGGAUAAAAAUAUUUCAGAGACAUUGACAGUAAUUACAAAAUUCCGUAAGAUUUGCCAAGAAAAGCGAAAAUAGAAAUAAAUAUCAUCAAUUUGAGCAGCUUUACCUUGACAUUUCCAGCUUCUUUGAUUGCAGCUAUGAUCUUCGCUUGAUCCUGCAACUGCCCGCCACCAACGGUGGAUAUCACCACAUCUACUUCCUUGAUCGCCUUUACCAAACUCUGGUGAUCGUUUAGAUCUCCCUGUACCAAACAAUAAUUAAGGAAUCAAACAGUUAUACAAACCUAAAGCUAAGAAGAACAAAUUAAUAUGUAAAACUCAAAGCUAGGUGAGUUUUUCACAUUAUUGAAAUCAAAACAACCUAAAACAUAAGAUCCAAACUCCUCUUCUCCUGUCUUUUCUUUCUUUGAAUUUUCUCAUCAACCAAGCGGACCAUCGUAAUUCCGAUGAUCCCAACCCUUUUAGCCGAGUUACGUUUAUGAUUUUUCGUUUUCUUAGUAACUCAAAGAUCCGAAAACCGAAAACGCCACGACUAGAAAUUUCCUUCAUUUUCUAGGCAACCAAAAGGAGCCGAAAUUGGAAAAACAAAGAAUGACGAGGCAUGAGAGAGGAUUGUACACACAUGGACCAAAGUGACGCCGGAGCUCUUGAAACUCUUGAUGAUUUGGGACUUCGUAGGAUCUGAAAGGGUGGUGUCUCUGACGAGAGCGAAGGUAGGGUGACCGGACUUGGCGCUGGCGGCGACAAUGAAUUUUCCUAUGUAUCCGGUGCCGCCGAUGAUGAGGAUCUUGUCGGCCAUUCUAAACUUCCACGUUAAUCGCCGGCGAGAAUUGUGGAAUUGCAGAGACGACUAAGAGGUCGAUGGUGCGAAAACGAAUGAGCACUAACGCCAGGGACUCUUUCAUGCGCACUCCUUAUAUACAGGAAUAUGCAAGACGCGUAAUUACAGAAGUAACCUCAUUGGGUGAAAAUCUCCGUUGUGGUUAUUACGUCAUUUUUUCUAAAUUUUAACAUUCUAUUAGGUCAUAUUUCUCGCGAAAACGAAUGAGCACUAAUGGCCAGGACUCUUUCUUGCGCACUCCUUUUAUAGAGGAAUAUGCGAGACGUGUAAUUACAGAAGUAACCUCAUCCUUGAGUGGAAAUCUCCGUUGUGGUUACUACGUGAUUUUUUCUAAAUUUUAACAUUGUAUUAGGUCACAUUUCUCUUAGAUGGCGUGAAAACGGAGUUUUGGGUCAAAAUGGUACAUUUUAAAAAAAAUUUGUAACAUCUAACCGCUUUUUGAAACUAUGUUCAAUUUAGCCUUUUUGGUGACACGUAGGCACCAUGCCAUUAAAAAUAUAUUUUUUUGGUUAUUUUAAUUAAAAUCGUAGUUCGUAACUGCGACUUUAUUUUUGAAUUAAAACUAUAGUUGUCAACUGAGGCUUUAGUUUUUUUUUUUUUAAAUUUAAAAUUUAAUAAAAAAUUAUUAAAUUAUAAUUUAUGAUUGAAAUUUAAAAAUAUACUUAAAUAUUAAAUUAUUUAUAUUUAUAUUUAAAAAUCUAGUAUUACUUCAAUAAACAUAAAUUGAUAAAUAUAAGAUAUUAUAAAUGAAUAUUUUAUUUAUUAAUAAUCUUAAAAUAAUAAAUUUAUAUAACAUAUAAAUAAUAUAUAAAAUUGUAUAAUUUAUUAAUUUAAGAUAUUUAAUUUGUUGUUUUUUAAGAUAUUAAUUUAUUUGUAUUAUGAUAAAUUUAUCUUUAUCGAAAUAAUAGUAUACUUUUAAGCUGCAAUUGAUAACUGAGAUUUUAAUCAUAAUUUUCUUUUUAUGUGAAAAAAAUUAUAAUUGAAAUUUCAAUUAUCAACUACGACUUAAAAGUAUACUAUUAUUUCGAUAAAGAUAAAUUUAUCAUAAUACAAAUAAAUUAAUAUCUUAAAAAACAACAAAUUAAAUAUCUUAAAUUAAUAAAUUAUACAAUUUUAUAUAUUAUUUAUAUGUUAUAUAAAUUUAUUAUUUUAAGAUUAUUAAUAAAUAAAAUAUUCAUUUAUAAUAUCUUAUAUUUAUCAAUUUAUGUUUGUUGAAGUAAUACUAGAUUUUUAAAUUUAAAUAUAAAUAAUUUAAUAUUUAAGUAUAUUUUUAAAUUUCAAUUAUAAAUUAUAAUUUAAUAAUUUUUUAUUAAAUUUUAAAUUUUUUUAAAAAAAUAACAAAAGUCUCAGUUGGCAAUUGCCGCAGUUGUAAAAAAUGAAGCCGCAAUUGGCAACUGCUGCUUUAAUUAAAAUGACGAAAAAAAAUAUUUUUUUUUAAUGAUAUGACGUCUAUGUGGCAUCAAAGAGGCCAAUUUGAACAAAGUUUUAAAAAGUGGUUAGAUGUUACAAUUUUUUUUUUAAAAGGGUCAUUUUGACCCAAAACUCGUGAAAACGCAUAAGUACUAACGAUCAAGUACUUUUUCUUGCGCACUCUUUAUGUACAGGAAUAUGAAAGAUGUGUAAUUAUAGAAGUAACUUCAUCUUUGUGUGAAAAUAAUAAAUUUUUAGAGUAAUUAUUAAAAAAAUAUAUAUAAGAUAAAAAAGUUUUUCAAACGUUAUGGUAGAAAAUAGUUUUAAAAGAUAUAUUAGUCUCUUCAUAUUUUAUAUCCUCCCCAUCAAUUAUGUAAUUUUUAUGAGCCAAAUCUUAAUUUUUGGGUCCAACUUAGUCCAAAAUACAAUUAUCCUAUUUUUUUUUCUUCUAAAUUUUAGCAUUCUAUUAGGUCACAUUUGUGUCUUUUGUUUUUUUUUUGUCUUAAAUUUAAAUAGAUCUUAAAUUAAUUUAAAUCUAAAUAGUAUUUAAUCGUAUUAUAUAUUAAAUUAUUUUUAAUUUUUUUUUAAUAUUAAAAAGUAACUUUUUUUAGGACUUAAGCGAUUCUUAAAUUAUUAAUUUUUAAAAUAGUUUUAUCUUAAUAAAAAAGUAAAUUUUGUUUAUUUUUAUAUAAACCCUUAAAACAAUUUGUUUCAAAAAUUAAGAACAUUGAGCCGUUGGUGUCCAGAAGAAGGGAGGGAGGUACCAAACAGCGUAAGUGGUAACUCACCUUCCAAAAGAGUUUUUGUCCUCUUUUUUUAUUCUCUCUCUAUUUUUUUGGGCUUUAAUUUCUGAAGUUAAAAGAAAGAUUUAUGGCUGAAGGGUUGGGUUUCUAAGUGCACUCAAUCACUCAUAUUUCUUCUGUAAUGAUUCUCAUACUUUCUCGCAUUUCAUUUGACAUCAGGGUAUUCCUCUGAAGCCUCCACUCCAAAUGAUGGUUCGAUCUCAAAGUCGGUGUGGUCUCCCUUCACAAAAACAGAGUGAUUGAUUGCCAAUAUCACAUUCACUGGAAAUUGGGCUUUAGUUUCCAAUCCAUCAUAAGUUGCCAAAUAAUAAAGGGAGACCAUACCAACUUUACCUUGAAAAUAAAUACAAAAUUCCAUGACUCUGUUUUUGUUUUGCAGUUGUGAAUUGACAGUGUGUCAUGUGAAGCUCUUGCAGAGUGAUUAAUGCUUCCUUUGUGCAUUCUAGCGGCCAUGUCAAGUUGCUUAGCCUGUCAACUAUUGUAAUGAUAAUGGUUGCUUCCUUUGUAAGUUGUCCAAGUGUUGCAUGAGUGCUUAGGAAACACCAAAGUCUUGAAUGUCCAAAAGUAGAAAAUGCAACAGGGAAGUUAUCUCUUUAUGAUUUUUUGACAGUUUGAUUACCUUUUGGAUUCCCAUCUCCUAGGAUAAUAACUUUAUCUCUUGGGGAAGCAGUGGCUCCAAACUGUGACAAGGUAGGAAGGAAAUAGCCAGCAAAUAAGUUGUUGCACACACAGGUGUAGGGAAUUCCUUCAGCCUCAAUAGUGCGGCGGAGUUUAGCCUUUAUCUCAAAUGCUGUUUUUUUUUGCAGGAUCAACAGCAUCGAUACGAUCAACAUCAUCUCCAAACUCUGAUGGGAAGAAUCUCUGGACAAAAUAAAGCACUUUGAGAAAAAGCCGCUUAACUCGAUGGACAAAGAACCGAUUUUAUCUAUUUCGUCGUAUUAGUUCACAGACAGAGUGGUAUACACUUUGACAAGUUGAUACAAGUGUUCAACAACACAUUUUUAUUUUUAUUUUUUUUAUGAAUAAAUAGUAGUAUAUUAAUAAAAAGAAAAAAAGCACAUAAAAGAAGCACCCCAAAGAACACAAGUGAUAUACAAAAGAGGUUAAAAAACCCCUUAAAUAGAGUCUAACCAAUCUACAAAAUCCACACAGGAAGGGGGGUUAGAGUCUAAAAAACCCUUGGCUCACGCCCAUAGGUUACAAAGGAAAAAAAAUUUACAUCCUUGAACCAAAUGACCCUCAUUUUCAAAGACCCUAUCGUUUCUUUUCUUCCAAACUAUCCAAAAAAUACAUAAAGGAACUAAAAACCACACUUUCUUCCUCUUCUUUCCCACACAAAACCCAAACCACCCCAAUAACGCCUCUUUAACUGAAUAUGGGAGAACCCACAAUACCCCAAAAAAGGAAAAACAAUAAGUUCCAUAAACUUCUUGCCAGCUCACAAUGCAAAACCUUUUUUCGAUCCAAGGUUAAGAGCUUUUUUCAUGUAGCCUCUCAAGCAAAAAAAACUCACCCUCAAAGGCACCAUAGAGUUCCAAAGCCUUAUAGAGAGAUUUGACAGAAAAUCUACUGUCCUUUGACUUUGUCCAAACUACUUGAUCUUCCGCAUCACUAUAAACCCUCAUCCCUUGCAAUCUUAAGAGAAAAUGUUCCAUAUCGAACACCUCCUAAUCGUUAAGCUGCUUAGAGAAUCGAGGAACCCAUACUUCCCCUCCAAAGUGGCUCCACAUAUCUUCCACCCAAGCCUCCUUAGCCAAGGAAAUAGAAAAUAAGGAUGGAAAAGAAUUAUACAAAGAAUCGUCUCCACACUACCUGUCAUUCCAAAAUCUAACCCUCCUACCAUUCCCCACAGAAUAAACCAUAUUGUUGCCUAUCAAAUCCCAAUAUCUACUAAUAGCUUUCCACAAACCAACCCCAAAGCUACCUCUUACAUCAUAAGAUCGCCAACCACCUGCUUCUUCCUUAUACUUCCCAUAGAUAACUUGCCUUCACAAAGUCUCUCUCUCCACCGCAAAACACUAGCUCCAUUUGUAUAAAAGAGCCUUAUUCAACAACGCCAAAUUCCUCACACCCAAACCACCCUUUCAUUUAUCUGAGCAAACAAUAGACCAAUUUACUAAAUGAGGCUUCCUUUCCAAGGCCCCUCCACCCGAAAGGAAAUCCCUUUGGAUAUGCUCCAACUGCAAACUCACACUCCUUGGUAUAUAGAACAGGGACAUACAAUAGAUAGACAUAUUGGAUAGAGUGUUUCAGAUCAAGGUCGACCUACCCCCUUUGGAAAUAAAUUGUCUUUUUUAAAUUGAAAGUCUUUUCCUCAUCCUUUCCUCUACCCCAUCCCAAACUGCUAUCUCCUUAAAUGAGCACCCAAAGGAAGACCCAAGUAAGAAGAAGGAAGCGGCUAAACUUGCAACAAAAAGAAAUAUGAAAUAAAUUACUAUAUAUUUCCAAUUAAAGUUCUAUAAAUCACUUUAAGUUCCAAACAUGGACAAAUAUCUAAGUUUGAUUAACUACCUAUAUGCAAAGAAAAAAGUAAAGCAGGACAACAAAAUAUGCUCUGAACUUCUCAACAAUGAAAGUCCAGAACUGAGUUGUGAGAUGUAAGAGUUUAGGUAUCAACAAACUCAUUUUCCUUAUAUCGCUAAUCAUUUUGUUCUUCUACCUUCUUUUCCUUAUUUCAUAUAUAUAUAUAGUUUAUAUGUGAAUGUGCUUUGCAAAUUAUAGGAUGAUGGAAAAUCCUAGAGAAGGGAAAAGAGUGGCAAAUAUUUUUUUUUUUCUCUUGACAUGUGAAUUACUCUUUUUAAAUUGGUAGCAUUUCCUAUUAAUUUGACGGGCUGUGUUUUGCUUAACUGUUGCACUAAUAAGUUGCUCCUUACUUGUGAAAAAUGAAUUGUACAUGUUUAAUAAGAACAAUGAAUUAUUUUGUUAAAUUUAUCAACCAUGGUGAAUGGAGACUUGGAACCAAUUACUAAUUAGUCUCAUUGUAAGGAGCCAUAAGUAGUUAAAUGAAGGCUAUAUUAAUACGCUGAAUAUUCAGUCAGAUGAUGGGAUUAAUUUAUCUGGAUUUUGAUUCAAAGCUAUGUAUGAUUAUUUAAUGACCCCUCCAGCCUCAAUCAUGCUUAUCAAACAAGCCUUGAUGAUUCAAAUAAAGUAACCCCACUAGCCUCAAAUAAUACAAACCGUAUAAAGCAAAGCUCUAAAAGGCUAAACAAUUCAAAUAAAGUAGCUCCUAAAGCCUCAAUAAUGCUGCAAAAGGAUAGACCAUGAUUAAACUCACAAAAGCUGCAGAUAUUAUCUCUUCAUCUCACUCGCCUUUAUUCAUCCUCCAUUCCUCUUCAUUCAUCAAUCCCACCUUCUUCACCCUCCCCAUGGCUGAUGCCAUCGUUUCUAUUGUGCUGGAACGCUUAACUUCGGUUGUUGAACAGCAGAUUCAUGAACAAGUUUCUCUGGUUCCGGGUGUUGAAUCAGAAAUUCAAAGUCUCAAAAACACACUCCGCUCCGUCCGAGAUGUUCUUGAAGAUGCCGAGAGGAGAAAAGUGAAGGAAAACUCUGUCCAAGGUUGGUUGGAGAGGCUCAAAGACAUGGCCUACGAAAUGAUGGACGUGCUGGAUGAGUGGAGCAUUGCUAUUUUUCAAUUCCAGAUGGAGGGAGUUGAAAAUGCUUCCACGUCUAAGACGAAGGUAAGCUUCGGUAUGCCCGCCCCUUUCAUCCGUUUCAAGCAAGCUGCAAGUGAACGGAUCGACUUUAAUUUUGUCUCUAGUAGGAGUGAGGAGCGACCACAGCGACUUAUAACUACCUCUGCAAUUGAUAUUUCAGAGGUGUACGGUCGGGAUAUGGAUGAAAAAAUCAUAUUAGUCCAUUUGUUGGGUAAGAUGUGUCAAGAGAAAUCUGGCAUCUACUUCGUCUCCAUAUUUGGGACGGGAGGCAUGGGAAAAACAACUCUUGCUCGACUAGCCUACAACCACCGAAAGGUGAAGACCCAUUUUGAUGAAAGAAUAUGGGUCUGUGUCUCUGAUCCUUUUGAGCCAGCCAGAAUUUUUAGGGAUAUUGUUGAAAUCAUCCAGAAAGCGUCUCCUAAUCUCCAUAAUUUGGAAGCUUUACAACAAAAGUUUCAAACGUGUGUCUCUGGAAAGAAGUUCCUUCUUGUGCUAGAUGAUGUGUGGACUGAAGACAAUCAAUUGUGGGAACAACUGAAGAACACCCUCCACUGCGGAGCAGCAGGGAGUAGAAUUCUGGCGACCACACGCAAAGAGAGUGUUGUUAAGAUGAUGAGAACUACGUACAAGCAUCUCUUGGGGGAGUUGUCUUCGGAGCAAUCUCGGGCAUUAUUCCAUCAAAUAGCUUUCUCUGAAAGGAGUACUUGGGAGAAAGAGGAAGAAUUAAAAGAAAUUGGUGAGAAAAUAGCAGACAAAUGCAAGGGCUUGCCCCUCGCUAUAAAAACUUUAGGGAACCUCUUGCGCUUAAAAAAUAGCGAGGAAGAAUGGAAGAACGUAUUGAAUAGUGAAGUAUGGCAGCUAGAUGAGUUUGAGAGAGAUAUUUCCCCUGCUUUGUUGUUGAGUUAUUAUGAUCUGCCCCCUGCAAUUCAACGCUGCUUCUCAUUUUGUGCUGUUUUUCCAAAAGACUCAGUUAUUGAGAGAGAUGAGCUGAUCAAGUUGUGGAUGGCACAAAGCUAUCUCAAAUCUGAUGGGAGUAAAGAGAUGGAGAUGGUUGGGAGAACGUACUUUGAAUAUUUAGCUGCUCGGUCUUUCUUCCAAGAUUUUGAAAAAGAUGAUGAUGGUAAUAUAAUAGGUUGUAAGAUGCAUGACAUAGUGCAUGAUUUUGCUCAAUUUUUGACUCAGAAUGAAUGCUUUAUUGUGGAGGUUGACAACCAACAAAUGGAGAGCAUAAACUUAUCCUCCAAAAAGAUUCGUCAUACCACCUUAGUUGUCCGAGAGAGUACCCCUAAUUUCGCCUCCACUUAUAACAUGAAGAAUCUACUCACCCUCUUGGCUAAGGAAGCAUUCAAUUCAAGUGUUCUUGAAGCCUUACCUAAUUUGUUAAGGCAUUUGACAUGUCUCAGGGCAUUGGAUUUGAGCAGCAAUCGGUUGAUUGAGGAACUUCCUAAGGAGGUAGGAAAAUUGAUUCAUUUAAGAUUCCUUAAUCUAUCAAAUUGUAGGCGAUUGAAGAAGUUUCCUAAAACAAUUUGUGAUUUAUAUAAUUUGCAAACCUUAAAUAUUCAAGCAUGUUCCUGUAUUCAGAAACUACCACAAGCAAUGGGUAAACUAAUUAAUUUGAGGCAUCUUGAAAAUUAUGGUGUUCUAGAGGGCUUACCAAAAGGAAUUGGAAGAUUAAGCUCUCUUCAGACACUGGAUGUUUUCAUUGUGAGUAGUGAUGGCAAUGAUGAAUGCCAAAUAGGAGACCUGAGAAACUUGAACCUAAGAGGAUGUCUUUCCAUUAAAGGGUUAGAUGAUGGGGAGGCAGAAAAAGCAGAAUUGAAGAAUAAGAUACACCUCCAACGUUUGGAUUUGGAAUUUGGUAGAAAGGAGGGGACCAAGGGUGUGGCUGAAGCUCUACAACCCCAUCCAAACUUGAAAUCUCUACGUAUAUUCGAUUAUGGUGAUAGAGAGUGGCCCAAUUGGAUGAUGGGUUCAUCAUUAGCUCAACUGAAAAUACUCGACCUCGACUCUUGCUUAAGAUGUCUGUGUUUGCCUCCUUUGGGGCAACUGCCUGUCCUUGAGAAGCUGGUGAUAUGGAAGAUGUAUGGUGUGAAAUACAUAGGUAGUGAGUUUUUGGGAUCAGCAUCAACAGUAUUCCCAAAGCUGAAGCAACUGAUUAUUUCUCGUUUGGAUGAAUUGAAGCAAUGGGAAAUAAAAGAAAAAGAAGAGAGGUCAAUAAUGCCAUGUCUCAAAUACUUGAUUACGGAAUACUGCCCAAAGCUGGAGGGACUGCCGGACCACGUGCUCCAGAGGACACCAUUGCAGAAAUUGGACAUCACAUGUUCUCCUAUUCUAGAACGACUCCUAUUCUAGAACGACGCUAUCGAAAGGAUAUUGGCACAAAAUAUCUCAUAUCCCACAAGUCAAAUGUAGAUGGUACUGAAUGGUCAUCACACUUCACCUCAUGUUGCUCUUGUUACAGGUAAUUAGAAUUUAUCUUAGUUUUCAUUUCCAUUGCAUUCAUAAUCGCACACGUUAAUCUAUUCCAUAAAUAUUCUUUUUCUGUAUCUUUCCAUUAUCUUAUAUCCAUAGGUCCAUUUUGGUUUACAUUGUUACUAAAGUGUUUAUCCUAUAAUAUAUACACCUUGCAAAAUUUAAAAAUAAAAUAAGAGAAAUCUUAAAAAAAAAAAAAAAAAUGAAAACCAUUUCUACAAAAAUACCUCAUCUAAACUUGAAACCUUUUCUAUUCUAAAAGUGUUUUGUUACAUGAUCAAAUACCUUGAAAAAGCUCCAACAGCCAGGUAGAAGAGAUUUUAGGUGGUCAUAUGUGAUCUUUAGACUCUAUAUAUACUAUAUAAUGUUAUAUAUUAUCAAAUUCCAUUUUAGGGUACACUUUUGUUGGGCAUGGGCCUAAUUCUACUUAUAGGGUUAUAAUUAUAAUGACUAUAAUUAAUAUAUUUUUUUAUAGUUAUGAAGGUUAUAUGAAUAGUUGAAAGGUUUAAUACAAGGAUGGUAACAUCCACAAAUUUCUACAAGUUUAUAACAUUCCUAUUUAAUUGUUAGUCAUUCUUACAAUAUCUCCGUUAAACUUUAUUAGAAGUUAAGGACAAAAAAUAUCGGCUUCGACAGAUAUAUCGAUAACUCGAUUUUAUGGAUAUAUUGGAAAAUAUUGAUGACUAUUUUGAUACAAAAUAUCAGUGGAAGAAAUUUUGAAAAGAAUUAAAAAAGAUUAUAAAACAAGAAAUAAUACAUCUAUUUAAGUUGUUAUUCUUAAAUAAUAUAUGUAUAAUAUAAUUUGUAAUAUUUGACAGUAAAUUAAUAAUAUAUAACACUUGAAAAUAUAUUUCGUAGAAAAAUAUAAUUUAGAUGUAUUUAAUGAUAAAAAAGAAAUUAUUCCAUAUGUAUGAUUUUUAAAAUAUUUAUAAUUUUAUUUUAAAAUUUAAAAUUCUAUAUAUUUAAUUAAUAUCUAAAAUAUUAACAAAAACUCACUAAAAAUUAUGAUAAUGGUUUUUAUAUUUUUAAUACUUGGUUAAAUUGAAUUUGGAUGUAAGAUAAUUAAAAUUCAAUUUUACUAAAGUUAUAUAUUAUCAAAUAGGAUAUAUAUAAUGUAAAAUACCUACUGCUUUUUUCCUCUUAGUUUCUUUAUCUAUUAUGGUUCUUAAUUAGACAACUAAAAGUGUUUCCAAGUGAAGCUGAUCUUUGUAUAUCUUGGAUCCUAAUGGCGAGUUCUAUUUAUGGGAAUGAGAAUAAAAAAUAAGAUGGGUACGAAGGUGAAUCAUAUUACCACAUACAAGAGAGAAACCAAAAUUCCAACAGGAAUAAGAUUUAAUUUUCAUAAUGAUGAAGUUUUUAUUCAUUUUCUUAUUCCAAAAAAUAAUAUUUUAAAUUCAUUAAUGAAUGAGAAAUGAAACAAAUGAAAAACAUGAUCUAAAUGUUAACUAAUUAAUAUUUUAAUAGCCUAACCUAUUAGAUUAUUUGCUCAAAAUACUGCAAAGAAAAUUUCAAAACUUAUGAAUAAAGACCAUCUUGAUUCUUGUCUCAAAAUUAUAUCCAAAGGCAUCAUUUAUUAUUAUUAUUUGUCAUUUUUACUUGCAAGCUUUGAUCUUUAUUUCUGUCUUGACUUAUUUUAUUUGCUUUCUUAUCUCUUUUCCAUCUUAAUUUUAUUGGUUAUGGGAUGUGAAGGAGAUUAACACUAUUGUUUUUCGUUUCAGAGAAGCAAGUUCAAAUAAAGAGGAGAAAAUUCCCAACACCUAUGUAUUGUGCAGUUGUCUAUGAAUCAAUUUCAAAUUGGUGAUUUGUAAAUUCUUUUUCUUUUUUUCUUUUCCCCUUUUAUUGGUUUGCUUAUAUAUGUAAGAAUGUGUAAACUUCAACUUUAUUGUUUGGAUUUAUUUCCUACAACAUAAAUGGUUUGCGAAUUAUGGGAACUUGCAUGCAUGCAUGCAUGAUGUUACUUCUGAUUUGUUUUAAGGACAUAUCUAUUGUUAACCUAAUGGAUGAAGUGGGAUGGUCUUGAAAUUUCAAUGCAAACAAAAUUUUCUCCUAGAAGGGGCUUUGCCUAAUAAAUGUGAGGCAUUCUCAAGUAACUUAAGGUCCGUUUGAUCAUGUUUUAUGAAACUUAUUUUUUAAAACUGUUUUUUAUUCUUUAACUUAAAAACAAUUUUUAAAAACAAGUAACUUAAGGUCCGUUUGAUCAAACGGAUCCAUGUUUUCCUUCUGUUUUUAAAAAUUGGUGAAAAUAACUCUUAUUUGUUCUCUAAUUUUUUUUUUUUAUCUAUUUCACUUUGUUUUUAAAAAUUGUUUUCAGAUAAUAACGAUAAAACAAUGUUAGAAAAUUUUAAAAAUAGUUUUCUGUUUUUUAAAAACAAAAAAUUGUUUUAAAAUAUACAACCAAACAGGUUCUUAGUGUUUGUUUGGAUACACUUUUUAGUUUUAUAAAAUGCUUUUUGUUUUUUAUUUAUAAAAUUAGAAAAUAGUAGUUUCUUUAUAUAAGAUAUAAGAACUCUAAUAAUUUAACAAAUUGAAAUAUUAAAGAAAAUUUACUAUCUCAAAAUUUAAAAUUUUUUAAAAUGAAUUUAAAAAAUAUAAAGUAAAUUUAUACAUAAGGAUGUUUUUGGUAAAAAUGCAAAGAUGCAUUAAACCUUAUGAUUUUUUUUUUGGAUAUAGUUAAUUAAUUAAUUAGAACCUAAUAUAACUAAAUAAUCAAUUAAGACUCAAGUGGAUUGGUUUAGGUGACCCAAAUCCAAUUUAGGAUCAAGUCACUUAAGUCUAACAAAGAACCCUAUAAAUACCCCUUAAGGGAUAAGGUUUUAGUCUUCUUUCUAUCAUCUUCCAAAGAGCCUUCAGAGAGAAAAACCCUACUUGUCUUUUAAAGAGAAAAGUUCACCAUUUUCUCAUGCUUAUACCCUUGAAAGAGAGUGAAUGGAAGAGUACAGGGUAGACAACUUCUACAAUGGUCUUUGACAUCUUCAUCAUAUUAGAAAUGAUUCAAAAACAUUCAAAUCAAAAUGUAUGAUUAUUACAUUCUCUAUAUCUAAUUAUUAUAAUGGUUUUUUGAUGUUAUAUAUUCUGUUGCAUUAGAUUUAGAGAUGCCUAGGUAGAUAUCAUACACCCUAUAUGAUCUAGGGUUAGGGAACAGAGUGAUUUGAAGUUCUUCGCAAUUACAAAUUCUACAAAACCCUGUUAAAAUCGUUGAUGAAAUAGAGUUUGAAGGCUAAAAUGAAUUAAGAUGAUUAAAGUGCCACCACAAAUUGCAGUAUAAUCCUAUUGAAAUGAUGGGUGAAAUAGAAGCCAAAAUUAAUUGAAAAGAUUAAGAACUUGUUUAAUAACUGUUUUAGAUCACAUACUCUAUGUUCAAAACAAGCCAUCCAAACAGCCCUUGGAGAAACAAAAUAACACACGCUGGAAAUUAUUUGCCAAAUAGAGUUUGGAGAGAAAUUCCUGAAUCACCUCUUUUCUCAAUUCUCAUCAACCAGAGACAAUAAGAAUGAGAGUCAACUCCCAUUUUUAUUGUUUAUGGAGGGCUCUGUAAAUUUCAGGCUUCUCCAUUGAAGAGUAAAAGACAUUGAGGAAGACAACGGUUGGCGAUGAAUGGAGGUGAUUGACUUUUUUGUAGGCUUUUGUAGGCUAUUUGUAGGCUUUUUGCUAAGUGGCAAAGUGGCAACACGGUUUGUUAGGGUGACACCACUAGUGGCCAGGUCAUGGGCUAGCUUGGUUUGAUCUGGAGGUAAUGAGUCUGGAGGAUACCUCCUGCCAGACUAACAUCUUCCCUUUUUGAGGACUUACUAUGACUAGAUAUCCCCUUCCAAGGGUACCUUAUUUUUGCAUCACCAAUAUGUUAGAUCAUUGAUCUUAACUGUGUCCAUUUAUAACUUAUUUUAUGAAUUGAUGUGAGUAUCUCGAAAUGAUUUAAAGAAGUGAUUACUAUCAUUUACUUAAUUGAUCUCUAUACGUUGUUAUAUUUAAUCACAAGAAAAUACAUACUCUAUUUAAGAUAAUAAAACUUUGCAAGGACAUGAAAUAUAACUAACAUUCACAUAUUAAGCAACUUAAAUUUUGAUCAUUUCAAAUAAAAUAAAUCUAUGUUGAUUGUUCCAUAAAAGUACCAUAGUAUAUGUUUGACCUCAUUUUAAUGUUUUCGAAUUGGUGCAGAAUUAUAUCAUGUAAGUUAACAUGUAAUAUUAUAUUUGGUCGUGUAUAAUUUAUUAGAUGUCUCAAUGUAACAAUAACAUUGAGAUGAGGUACUUCUAUAGAAGUACUUUUUCUUUAGGACAAAAUGAGUCAUUUUUUACUUGAAUGAACUACCUCUAAAGAACUCAUGGUAGAUUGAUUAUACCACGGUAAGCGGUAGUGCUGGUCCUCUCUCUAUAUUCAUUAGGACCUGCCCCAGUUGGGUUAGAACUUAAGGGGAAAGUUCACUAGUAAGCACUAUUCCAUGUUUUCUUCCAAGAAUUGUCCUACAACCUACUCAAUGGGUCUCUGACUUUCCUUAAGUUACGCUUGAUUAAAGCCUUGGCGUAUGACUUUUGUUGGUGACUAAAUCCUUGAAACUCCAAACCUCAAAAAUUUAUCUUUAACAACACUUUCAUUAAUAUUAAACUUUCUACGGUACCUUUUAUGAUAUGGUCGAAGAAAACUAUGGAAUUAAAGAUCAACUUAUAUCUAUUUCGUUUAGAGAAAUCUAAAUGGGCUAAAAAAAUUAUAAUUAUUUAUUUAUUUAUUUAUUUUAUGAUACAAAAAUUGUUACUUAGUACAAAUAGAUAUAUUGUAAAGAAGGAUAGUAAAAGUAAAAUUUGAAAAAUUAAAUACAUACGUACGCGUGUGUGUAUAUAUAUAUAUAUAUAUAUAUGAUGAGGGUCCAUAAAUAAAAUUUCUGACAAAAUAUAUUUUGUUAUGAAAAAUAUUCAUAAUUGAUCAGGUAUGCACUUGGUGCAUAUAUAUAUAUAGAUCAAACAAGGUCAGGUUUUAUUGAAUGUCAUAUGUUCAAACAACACGUAGUAGUCUAGUACAAGACUCCAACCUCAAAUGAAAUAUUGUACCACAGACCUCAAACAGUGUCAAAUAUGAGUCUACUCCUCUAUCUAGAGAAAGAAACUCAUGGCCACGGACACCAAGGAGGCAAGGGCACUUGCAAAGACGGCAGAUGAUGGAGAAGCAUCUAGAGAUGGAUUGCAGGAGCUGGUGAACCAGUCAUGGGGCUGGGUGAUGGUGUCGGAGCACAAUCAUCAGGAUUACCAGUGGGAGAAGGUGUCCCUGGAGGUGGUUCAGUGGCUGUUGGUGGUGGGGCCCCCGGAGUUUGAGUUGGGGUUGCAGCAGGAGGUGCGUCGGUCAUGAGACUCAGUGACAGAGUGGGAGCGCAAUCAUCAGGAGUAGCAGUCGGAGGUGUCCCGGGGGUAUUUCCAAAUUUAAGCUUAUUAGUUAACACCUUUGGUAACAACUUGUAAAGGCUACCCAUCAAGCUUAUAGAUCAACCUAAAGUCCUUGAGAUCUCUAGCUUCCCCUUUCUUAGGAAUUAAAAUCAGAAAAGAGACAUUAAUGUUCUUCACAAACUUGUCCUAAUUAUGAAAAUCCUUAAAGAACCCUAUAACUUCCUCUUUCAGAAAACUCCUGCUGAACUACCAAAACGCCAUUGAAAAACCAUCAAAACCAGGAGCUUUACUCCAUUGAGGUCCAAGAGAGCUCCAAAAACUUCUUCCUCAGAGAAACGAGCCUUUAACAUUACUGCAUCCUCCUCUCCAAGGAUCCUAACCUGUGGCUCAUUGCAUCUGGGCCUCCACUCCUCUGUUUCAAUAAAAAAUAAGGGAAAACCUAAACCACUCUAUCUUUGAUGUCUCACUCUUCCGUUACCCAAGUCUCAUUUAUUUUGAUCUUCACCAUAGAGUUACCUCUCUUAUCAACAAUAGCCAUUUUGUGGAAAAAGCCAGUAUUUCUGUCUCCCUCCCUCAACCAUAACUCUCUAGACUUUUGCCUCCAAUAGGUUUCUUCCAUUAUCACCCAUUUCUUGUACUACCCCAAAGCCUACUUUCUGAGACUUUGCUCUUCUGUGGACAACAUCCUAUCUUCUUUUACAGAAUCCCAAAAUACCAUCUACUUCAAGGUUGAUUCCUUUCUAGCAGAGGUAUUUCCAAACACUUCUCUGUUCCAAGUCUUCAAGGUAGCUUUAAGCGCUUUAAGUUUUUCAGAUAGAGUGAAACUAAAAGACCCUCUGAAUUGGAAACCCAUCCACCAACUCCUUACCAAAUCCAAAAAAAAUAAAAUUGUCUUCCUUCAACCACAUAUUCUCAAAUCUAAAAGGGAAAUGACCUUUCCUCGCUUAUCCGCCGUCCAACAAGAUUGGGUAGUGGUCAGAAACAGGUCUAGGAAGAACACAUUGAACUACCCCAAUGAAAUAGCACUCCCAAUCCUCAUAAACUACAAAUCUAUCCAACCUUGACUUUAAUUGAUUAUACAAACUGUCCCUCUACAUGAAAGAACCCACCUGCAAUGGGAGAUUCCGCAAUUCCAAAUCCUCAAUGACUUUUGAGAACCUUCUCAUUGUUGAAGACAGUCUUGAAACUCUAUUCCUCUUUCUCAAGAAUCUAACAACAUUAAAAUCUCCUCCUAUGCACCACAGAUCUUGCCACAAACCCUUGAUAGUUCCCAACUCCUCCUGGAACUCUUCCCUAAGCCUCCCAACAGAAGGCCAUACAUACAUGUAAAAACCUUGCAGAAGCCAUCCUCCACAUUCUUAAACCGAUAGGAAACCGAAAAAUCUCCAAUUUCCAUUCCAACAAGCUCCACUCCAAGUCUAACACCCCUUUUCUUAUCAUACCCUAAGAAUUAAAAGCGCCCCACUCCAAGAACCUGCCCACCCCUAAAGACCAAACCAAACUACACGACAAACUUUGGAAUUUGGUUUCCUGGAGAAAAAUCAAAUUCGCUUUCUAAGUCUUGAUUACAAAUUUGAUGAUCUUUCUUUUAUCACCAUCAUUUGCUCCUUUCACAUUCAAAGAGAGGAUUUUUAACUUCAUUUACCCAUAGAAACUAUACCCCCACUCUCUCGGGAGAGAGCUCUUCCAUAUCCCAAACUUUUAAAAUUAAUGGAACACUCCAAUCUUCUAAGUUCCCUUUCAAACCUUGAGGAUUCAACCUUUACCUUUUUAGACCCAGACCACUGAUCCUUUUAUUCUUUCCUCAAUUUCCAGUUCUUGAGCAAAACUAGAAUGUCCUCCUCAAAACCAAUAGUCGACAUGCCCAGAAAGUCACUAAAUUGGGCAAGACAACAUGAUUUCCAUUCCUCAGCUGACUCCGCUCCACACUUAAGCCACCCCAUUGAAUUGUCCCUUUCCUUGAGGCUCGCCUCACCUACCACUACCAGAGCCCUUUCCUCCCCAGAAGAGGUCAUUGUAGAACUCCCGUCAACCAAAACCACAUUUAGAGGAGGAAUCGCAUACGCAUCAACAACCUCUGCCCCUAGGCCACAAACAAAACUGCAGUCCCCUUUCGCAACCCUUUUCUGACAAGGAGGAGAAGAAGAGAAAGGCAGAAAAAUCUACUAAGCUUCAUUCUGUAUCAAACCACUUCAACUUUAAUUUUCAUCCUUAUUAUUUAAUCAUAGUGUUUUUUAUUGUAUGCUGAUGAAAUUAUCUUUUACCGCUUUCAACCGUCUCUUUAUGCUUCCAAUUGAUAAAAAAGAUAUAUCAUUUCCGAAACCAAAUCUUUGUUUGUGAUAAUCAAAAUUUGAUGGUAAUGAAAACAGUACAAUAGGCCCCAUUAUCGGCCAAGAAGAGUAGAUCUCUUGUAAUCGGGCUACAUCAAGAAUUAAAAGCAAAUUUCAAACAUCUGAUGACUGAGAUUGAGUAGAUUAUGGUACUUUUUCCUUGGAAAAGAAACUCAAUUCAAUCCAACCUCGCUGAAUUAACAUAGAUCUAGCAACACAAAAUUGUUGAUCAUCUGUGGUCUUUCAUACACUUUUAAACACUCUUUAUCAUCUCUAAGUUAUAUAUAUAUAUAUAUAUAUAGAUAUAUAUCAUAGUACUUGGAUUUGCAUAGCAGAGAGGGAAAUGAGAAGGAGAAGAGGAGAGAUUGCGUGAGUUUUACUUUGACAUUUCCAGCUUCUUUGAUGGCAGCAAUGAUCCUAUCUUGAUACGGCAACAGCAUGUGGCCAACCGAAGAGAUCACCAGAUCCACUUGCUUGAUCGCCUUCACCGAACUCUCGUGAUCGUACAGAUCUCCCUGCAACAUAUAACAUAACUAAUCCAUAAACUAUUUCAAAACUCUAAUUCUCCAAAUUAAAGAAGUUGGAAUUCAAAAAUAGGUGUGUGUUUUUCAAACCAAACAAUUUCAAACAUAAACAUCAAAACUUUUCUUUUCUUUUCUUUUUUCUUUUCCUGCCGAUACAGUUUUCGUUUUUUUAGGAACUUGAACAUCCUAAAAUUCUAGAACUCCAAUUAAUUUCGUUCAUUUUCUCGGCAGGCAAAAGAAGCCAAAAUUGGAUGGCGAGACAUAAGAGCGAAUGGUACGUACAUACAGCAGAGUCACGCCGGAGCUCUUGUAACUCUCAAAGAGUUCCGACUUCGCAGGAUUCGAAAGGCCGCAUUCUCUGACGAGAGAGAAAGUAGGAUGACCAGACCUAGCGCUGGCAGGAACAAUGAAUUUUCCGAUUUUGCCGGUGCCGCCGAUGAUGAGAAUCUUGCUCUUUUCGGACAUUGCGCCUGUACACAAAUUUUUCUUAAAAGGAAAAUUAGUGCCAAAUUUGAAAUUCGAAUCGACCUUGGGGGAUGAUGCACAAUCUCUAUUUACUCCUCCGAUUCUUCUUGCAAGAAAAUUAACUUGAGCAUUCAUUCAGUUCGAACCUUGGUUUGGAUUCUUCAGUUUGUGCUUGGACUUGACUUGUCUCGGCAACUUUGGCUUGGCUCAAGUUCACAAGUUCACGAAUGCUUGAUCUUGAAUUGAAGGCCACUCGAUUUUGCGUUUUGGAGCUUCGAAUGCUUGAUAUUUGAUGAGAUUUGAUAUUUGUGUUUUCACGUUCAAAUUCAUGAUUUUUAUUUAUUUUAAUAAUUAUAUUUUAAUUACCAAAAUUUUUAUUUCUUUAUUUACAUUAAACCUUGAUAAAUUAAUAGCUUUAAUACCAAGAAAAAAAAAAUAUUAUUAAGCAAAUAUUGAUUAAUUGGUUAAUUAAUAAUUUAAUAAUUUAUUGAUUAAUUGAUAAAUUAUUAAUUUAUGAAACGUAUUCCUUAUUUUUUCAAAAUAUUGAAUUUAAUAUUGUUUUAUUGUAAUUAAGUAAAUUAAAUAUUUCUAUUACAAACUAACUUUCAAGUGGACAUUAAUUUUAAGAAGGAACAAGUAAUAUUGGACACAAAGACCUUAUAAAUUAAUCAUUUGAAUUUAACAACAUACUAGGGAAUUAUUAAUUUAGUACCUUAGCGGGAGUUGGGACCAAUAAAAAAACAUUAUUCAAUCAAAGUUAUCAAUUUAUUGAUGUUCCUUAAUAUUUUGACGACAACUCGUCUUCCUUUUGUAUAGGUCAUGUCACAUGUCUCACAAGUUGAUUUCAUAGAAUUAUUGCCAAGUAACAAUUUUUAUUUUAUUUUAUUACACUUAUUUUAUAUGGUAUAUUGUUUUUUUUCCCCUUUUUUUUUAUGAAACAUGACAAUUAUUAACUCGUUAAAAAAAAAAAAAAAUCAUCACUCUACAAAUGUUUCAUUGAAAAAGUUAUUCAUAAGUUUAAGGUAAAAAGUGAACAAUUAUUUAUUUAUUUCUCAUCAAUAAAGUUCAUAAAUGUAACUUGAGUGAUGCUCAAACCUAAUUUUGUUUGAAAUAUUAAUUGAAUUUAGAAUAUUUUAAAAAUUGGUUAUGAAUUUAAAAAAUCAAGUCGGAACGUGAUCUAUUAGCAUAGGGAGUUAGCAUUGUGCCUCAUCGGACAAAGUUAACCUUUAUCCCGAUUAUGUUAUAAGGUAUGACUAGUAUCCUCCAAACCAAAUAAUGAACUCAAGUUCAACCUAUAAUGACUAACUAUCAUUCUAUACAAAUGUCAUAUGACGUUUUAAAUAGAUUAUAAUAAGGAUUUCAAACAAGCAUAUGGGUGAAUAUGAAAUUUCCCAUUUAUAGUGGUAGUAGGAGUUAAGAGACUUAUGUAUUACAUAUUUGUCAUUACAAUCGAUGUUAUGUAAAAUUUAUGUCAUAAUAUCAAAAUUAUCUCCAUUAAUAUGAUUUUCUUUGUUCUCAACAUUAAUUCUUAUUUUUGUAUUAAAGAAAAUCAUAUUGGAAUGUAAUAUGUAUAAGUUAUUAGCAUUUAAUAAAACCAAAUAUUUACUCCAAAUUAGUAUUAAAUAUAUAUUUUCAAAAUUCAUGUUUCUUAUCAACAUAUUUUAUAUUAUUGUGAACAUUAUAAGUUUUAUUUUCUAUAUAUAUAUCAAUAAAAUAACUUCAAUAUGCAUAUUAUGACUCGUUUUACCAUUUUAUAGAACUUUUCUAAUGUUUUUGAGUUUUAAUCGAUUUUCAUCUAAUUAUUUUUAUUUUACUUUCAAAUUUUCUAUCCAAUAUUUGUGAUAUUUUUUUCAAAAUUUUGGUAAAAUCCACCACCAAUAUUCCAUCAGUUUCCAAUAUUUUCAUUUGGGAGGUGAAUAAAUCCGCUAAUGAGGGGCGGUCUAAUCAUUGUGAUUGUAUAUUUUAUGAACCAUUGUUUUUAUUUUUAUUUUUUUGUCAAAACAAUUUUCCAUACAGUUAUAAAAUAAUUUGAUUCCUGAGUAGGAAUGAAUGAGAACAGUGCCCAAUGCCAUUGCAUCACACUUAAUGAGUCCAACCCGCCUAAUUCAUGCCAAAACUGGUGAUGAGUUGACAUGGUCAACCACAAGUUGAGCCAAGACAUGUGACGCGUACCACCGCCCGUGCCAUGACGUGUGCCACGGGGCCUUACUUGGUGCCCACAAGUCGAGUCAAGACACGUGAUGCGUGCCACCGCCCGUGCCAUGAAGCGUGUCACGGGGCCUUGCAUAGUGCCCACGAGCCGAGCCAAGACAUGUGAGCCACCGGUGCCAUGACACGUGCCAUGAGGCCUUGCAUGAUGCCCACGAGUUGAGCCAAGACACGUGACGCGUGCCACCACCCGUGCCAUGACACGUGCCACGGGGCCUUGCAUGGUGCGCACAAGUCGAGUCAAGACACAUGACACGUGCCACGAGGCCUUGCUUGGUGCCCACGAGCAGAGCCAAGACACGUCACAUAUGCCACCGCCUGUGCUAUGACGUGUGUCACGAGGCUUUGCUUGAUGCCCACAAGCCGAGCCAAGACACGUCACGCGUGUCACCGCCCGUGCCAUGACGCAUGUCACGAGGCCUUGCUUGGUUAGAAUAUAUAGGAAUUAGACUUUGGUUAAAAAAAUACCAAUCGAAAAUAUUAGGUUUGACAUGGAUUGAAAGUGCAAUCAAUCGGUGGAAUAUUAUUUAUUUAUUUAUUAUUAAUUAUAUUGUACAUUGCUUUAUUUAAAUAUAGAGAAAAAGAAAAUAAUAAUAAUAAUAAUAAAUUCUAAUAUUUCUUACUUUUUAAUUGUACAAGAGUAAUAAGUUUAUCAGUUUUAUUUAAUUACUAAAUUAUCUUUGAUAGCUGAAGUUUUAGUUUAUAAAUAUUUAUUUAUAUUAAAUCAGUAACUAAUGAUUUAUUUUAUAAUUUUAAAAUAUUUUACUUUUAAUUUCUUAUUUUAUAAAUAUAAUUUAUAUUUUAUAAAUUCUAUAAUUAUUUUGUUUGAAAAUCAACAUUGAGAACUCAAAUUGCCCGUGAAUUUGAUAUAGGUUUAAGAAUUUUCAACCAAGCCUUGGGUCGACUUUCACACAGGUUAAAAUAUUAAUAAGCAAAUUAACAUAACUGAAUUUGAUGUGACCGAGUUUGGCAUGACUUAACCUUCUAACUCGCCCCCACCUACUUGUUUGGUAUUCACAUAACAAUACUAUAUGAAGGUGCUAUCGCCUUGAUCAACACUAGUUGCUCCUUAUACCGUGUGAGGGGACUAAUGAAUCAAUGAAAAACUGGUCUUACUAGUCUCAAAUUUCAUGCAUGAGUGAAGAAUCAACUAAGGAACUGUUUGGUAGUGAUUAUAGGUAGCGCUUCUAACCUUUGUAACAAUUGAACUUUUUAUCAAAAGAAUCAUUUUUAAGUACUAAAAAUAUUAAAAACACUUCCUAAAAUCACUGUCAUUCCAUCUCUAAUAAAGUCAUUUCUAAUAAAGUAUCAAGGAACAUAAAAUGAAAACAAAAAAAAUAAGAAAAAUAUAAUUUCAUAAACAUCGAUCGGCACAAGAUCAUAAAAGCACAUCAUCCUGCUACAGAAUAUGCUCAGUGGCAUGGCCAAUGAAAGCCCCCACUAUUUUCCACACAACAAAGACUUAGAUGGUGUUUGUUUUUUUGGUUUUUUGCUGAACACCAUUUAGUUUUAGAAUUUAGGUUGUUUGUUUUUUUACUUUUUCAUGACUUAUUAUAAACUUUUUACUAAACAGAAAAAGUCAAAAUAUGUGGCUUUUUCUAAAUAGAAAAAAUAACACAAUGAUUUUUUUUACUUUUUAAUACUUAAUAGAAAUAAAAUACUAUAAAAACAAACAACCUAAUAUUUAAUACUAUUAAGUAUUAAGGUUUUAUUUAGAAUUAAGUAAAAAAACAAACACCACCUAAGACAGAGCCACACAUGUUUAUUUACUAGGAUGGUGCAGCAUGACAAUGAAAACUGCCAGGAACAGAGUUCAUGUCUCAGACAAACUGAUUGAGGUACUCAUCCACAGUUGUGUAUUUGACAUCGGGAUAUAGCUCUGUAGCCUCAACUCCAAAUGAUGGCUGAAUCUCAAAGUUGGUGUGGUCUCCCUUAAUGAAAACAGAGUGACUGAUUGAUAAUAUCACAUUGAGUGGAACAGAAGCUUCUGCAAGAAACAGAGAAAAAAACCAUUCAAUCUGAAGAUCUUAGCCACCACUGAUAGUUCUACAAAAUAAGCAUGUACUAUGCUACCAAGUUUAACCAACUCUCUUUGUUUGUUUGUUUUCCUUUUUUUCUCUUUUCAAAUCCACUGAGUUGUAGUAAAUAGUUGCCCUGUCAUGUAACUGAGGCCUGGGUCAGGACCGCCAAACUUAACCAGCAGGCCAGCUAGCAGUUUCAAUGUUAAAACAACUGAUUCAAGAAUCAGUUCAAUUUUAACAUUUUAGCAUAACUCGAUGCCUGGUUAUCGGUCUACUAUUUGAAUUUUAAAUUAACUAAAGCAGCAGUCUGAAGACUUCUAAAACAGUAAAAAAUUUAAAAGAAAAAAACCAACAACAACGUCUCCACUAACCUUGGAUGUUCUUCAGCACUUGCUCCUCUGGUACGUAGAUCUUUUCAAGGGUUUUCCCAAUCUUUUUCUCCCACAAGGAGACAAGAUCAUUGAAUGAGUAAGUAUUCUGAGGGGGCCUGAUGUAGAGGAUUUUAUUCAAAGUUCUAGGAUCAUUCACAGCUUUGAUGGUAUAGGUGCCAAUGUCAUCCUCCUUGUUAAAAACAGCUGGAGAUGCAAAAACGAAACAGGUAAGAUAGGAGUUGAACCAUUUUCCUUUACCUUAGAAUCUUGGGACUGCUCAGGUCUCUUUGUCAUUAUAUAUAUAUAGAUCAAAAACUCACAGCUGGAAAGCCAACUCCAGAGAACUGUUGACUCAAUAAAGGAGGCUUAGCCCAUCCAAUUCAGUUAAAAACAGAAGGUCAAUAAUGAUUAAUAACUGGAAAUGCAUGAUGAUUCCUUCAGUUCAACAUCAUGUUAGUUGCCUGGGUUAUAGCUCAAUUGCACUGUUGCACCCAAGCAGCAUACCCAACUGCUGGAAGGCUUUGUUUCUGAGUGAACAGGUUUGGUCAGCUGGAGAAGGGGGGAGUGAGGAGGGAUUUUCCAGGUUUAGAAUGGCUACAUUCUGAUCUGAAGGAAUGUAGGCCAUUCUCACCUCAACAACUUUGGCAACCCUGGCUGGAGAAGAUAAUAUGCAGAUACCAGUUUAUGAAAUGGUAAAUUAACAGUCACAUGGAUUUCAUGGUCAUUGAAAUAACUUUUCAUUAGAAUUAUUGUUCACACCCAUUACCAUUGGAUGUUUCAGAGCAGAUGCACCAGUGUAUUUUAAUGUCAAAAGGACAAAAUGCAACAGGGAAGUUCAACUCUUUUAUCAUUUUCAGAAAGGUUGCUUACCCUUUGGAUUCCCAUCUCCUAGAAUAAUAACUUUAUCUCUUGGGGGAGUAGUGGCUCCAGGCUGUGACAAUGAAGGAAGGAAAUAGCCAGCAAAGAAGUUGGAGGAUACAUAGGUGUAGGGAAUUCCUUCAGCCUCAAUAGUGCGGCGGAUUUGAGCCUUAGUUGCAAAUGCUGUUUUUGCUGGCUCAACAGCAUGGACACGGUCCACAUCAUUUCCAAACUCUGAUGGGAAGAAUCUCUAGACAAAAUAAAGCACUUUGAGACAAUGUAUGAAAAACCAGUUAUAUCUAUUCAGUCAUGAUAGCUCACAGACACAGAUCAUAUAUGGGAUAAAUGUUAACAAGAUGAUACAAGUGUUCUACAAGGAUAAAGUUGUCAUGCAAUUAGUACUUGGAAUGGUGGAAGGAAAGAGUGCACUGAUCAGGAUACUUACAUGUAAAGAAAAAAAAUUAAAUGAAAGGGAAGAAAAGAACUACAAAACUUCAUUCUGUAUCAAAUCACUUCAACAUCAAUUUUCAUCUUUUAUUAUUUAAUUAUAAUCCCUAGGGAGUGAUUUCAAAACAUUUGGCAGGAUUUAAUCAGGCUAAAUAGAACAACCACCAUUAGAGAAUAAUGCUAUGUAUCGUUGAAAAAUUAUCCAUAUCCAAUGACAGGCUCAGCUGCAUAGUUAAGUAACAGAUAUGGAUCCAUCAUCUCAUAGGGUAAAUAUUAAGUUCUUAUGGUUCUCCAUUCAACAUAAAGUUCAACAGCACCCAUUCUAGAAGAAACAAUUUGGAGCUCCUGACCUCAUUGUGAAGUGACAUCCAGCCACAUCUCCAUUAUGAGAGAUCUAGACAUCUGAGUCUCAGGGUUCCUUUUGCAGCUUUACAAAAGUGGCGAAGGGACUAUCUUAUGGUAAAGGCUUAUUGUUAUACUAACCAAAAGAAGGAAAUAGCCAUACUUCAGUACUACUUGAAGAGCUAAUAACAUCUCUAAAAUUUGAGGUUUUUUGAUUCCUUUUCCUAUGCUCUUUGAAAAUAUAGGAUUUUUAUUGUAUGUAGAUGAAAUUGUCUUUUAUGGCUUUCAGCAAAUGAUUUCUAUAAGAGUAGCCUCGUCUGAGGGGUUUAAUCAUUUCUAAAAAAAUAAAUUAUUUCCCAAACCAAAUAUUUGAUUAUGAUAAUCAAAAUAUGGGUUAUAUUAUGGCCCUGAAAGCAGUACACAAUAAACCCCAUUUCAGCUGGGAAGAAUAGAUCAAUUGUAAUCAGGCUACAUCAAGAAUUAAAAGCAAUUUUCAAACAUCUAAUAGCUGAGAUUGAGUGGGUUAUGGUACCUUUUUCUUGGAAAAGAACACUCAACUCAAUCCAACCUCACUGAAAUACCAUAGAUCUAGCAAGAAAAGAAUGUUAAGGUCUUUCAUGCACUUUCAAAGACUCUUUUAACAUUUCUAAGGAAGGUGAUAUCAUAUCAUGCACAAAGGAUAAAGAUAUUUGCGACAAAUGAUUACAAAUGCCAAUAAUAAAUAAAUAUCACAGUACUAGGAUCUGCAAAGAAGGGAGAAAUGACAAGGAGAAGCUGAGAAAUUGCAUCAGUUCGGACGGUUAUACCUUAACAUUUCCAGCUUCUUUGAUGGCAGCAAUGAUCUUCACUUGAUCCGGCAACUGUGCGUGGCCAACCGUGGAGAUCACAACAUCUACUUGCUUGAUCGCCUUCACCAAACUCUCGUGAUCGUAUAGAUCUCCCUGAAACAUAACAUAACCAAUCAAUAAACUAUUUCAUAACCCUAAUUCUCCAAUUAAGAAGUAAGAAUCCAAAGAUAGGUGUAUUUUUCCAGUUCACUGAAACCAAACAACUUAAAACAAAAACAUCCGAACUUUUCUUUUCCUGAGGAUCGCCAAUUUUUUCUUUCUGGAUGAGUGAAGAAUUUCAGUUUUCGUUUUUUUAGGAACUUCAAGAUCCAAAAAAUUCUAGAACUCCAACAAAUUUCGUUAAUUUUCCCGGCGGCAAUAAGAAGCAAAAAUUGGAAAAGCAAGAAUGGCGAGAAAAGAGAGCGAAUAGAACGUACAUAAACCAAAGUCACGCCAGAGCUCUUGAAACUCUCAAUGAUUUCAAACUUCUCCGAAACUGUGGAUUCUCUGACGAGAGCGAAGGUAGGGUGACCGGACUUAGCGCUGGCAGCGACGAUAAACUUUCCGAUGUAGCCAGUGCCGCCGAUGAUGAGAAUCUUGCUCUUUUCGGACAUUGUUAACUUUUUUCGGGCGAAUCUCCGGCGAGAUAUGUGGAAUGAGAAGACUAAGAUGAAAGGUCGCGGGGAAGUGGAUGGGCUCCAAAGACCAAGGACGACGAUCUUAUAGGACUGAGGAAAUUAAGAUUGUGUAAUUACGGAACUAGCCUUGUGUUUGAGCCGUAACUUCCGUUUUGGCUAUAUUUUGUAUGCGGCUUCAUUUUUAUGUGAUUCACGAAUGUGUCCAAGUUCAUUUGUUUGACACUUGGUUGGAAUCAGUCAAAUUACAAAACUACCAAAUGUUUGGUUUGGAAAGCGAAAAAGUGUACAAUCCGUUAGUAGAGGGAAAAAAAAUGUGUUUUGAGUAUAAAAUUAAUUAUAAAAUAUUAAUUUUUUAAAAAUAAUUUAAGUUUCGUGCAUUCAUCGAUUAAAAAUAAUACUUAAAAUAGUUAAUAGUAAUACCUAUAUCAUUAAAAUAUAGUACUUAAAUUAUCAAAGAUAAUACCUUUUGAUAGCGAAAAAUCCUCCAUUGAUAAUAGGAAGAUAUCUUCUACUGAAAUCAAAAAUAAAUUUUUCAUCAAAAUCCCUAUUUUACAUUCAAAUGUAUAUUCCAUCUAUGCAUUUAUCUCUUCCUUUGCAUUUAUCGUUUCAAUAUUCUCUUAAUUUUGUUCCAUUUUUAUAGACUUACACAUAUAUUCUUUUAAAUAUCAGACCCGUUUUACCUUUAAUUAAAAAGUAUAUGAAAUAAUAAUUAUUUUUAGAUAAUUAUAUAAAAUUUAUAAUUAUAUAAAUUGAGUUUUGAAAAAGCAUGAGAGAGAAAGGAAAAAGAUAUUGGUUUAAUUAAGGCAUACAAGUCGGUCUUCUUGAAGGGUAGUUAGAUUCCCUACCUAAACUCAGUCUUCUUUUUUAUUGCUAUGAAACUUCUUGCCAAGUUCCAAGUUUUUAGUCAAUGGAUUUAUUAAAUUCUGGUAUGACUUGGUGGGGUGUGUAGUAAUUAGUCUACGGGAGAGUCAUUAUUAAUAUGAAGCAGGGAUUAUUAUAAUAUUUUACUACAUUUCCAAUAGCAAAUGCUACCUCGAAGAAGUUACACGUCACAGCGAGACGCUCGAGAACUUUCGCAGAUUCCAAGACUUGACUUUCAAGCGAGCCAAAAGCCUUGGAUAUCAGAUUCCAAUUGGAAUGGUUAAACCUUUUCAAAUGUUUUCCAUAUAAUUUUAUUGGUUAAAAAAUAAUUAUAAAAGGGUUAUUUGAUUAAAAGGACAUUAAAAAUCUAAUCCUUUAUUUUUUUUUUAAUUAUAUUUUGAUUAAAAUGCCUUAUUCUUUUCUUGUAAAAAUAAUUUUUUUAAAACCUAUAUAUAAAUAAUUAAAAUAAUUAAGAAUAUUUAUGUAAAAAAUAAUUAUUUAAAAAAAAACAAAAAAAAUGUUAAGUUCAUAAAUUUGAAAAUUAUUUCAUCAUUUUAACCAAUCAAUUCAUUAUAAAACACUAAAAUCUCUUUUAAAAACACGACUUCUCUUUUUAAAUUUAAAUACAUGCUUACCCAGUAAAAUGAUUACCUUUUUCCAAAGUUUUUACUAUAAUUUGAUCCGAUAAAAAAAAUGAUAAUUAUAAGAGGAUGUUUAAUAAAUCAACUUAAUGAGUUAAAGAGAUUUAAUAACUCAAUUUAAAUUAUUAAGUAGAUUAAACAUGUUCGAUAAAAUAACUUAAUCUCACCACUAAUAUUUAAAAAGAGCUUUAAGUAUUCGGUCAAAAUAAUUAAUUUAAUUUUAAUUUUAAUUUUAAUAUUUUUUGUCUUAUUUACCUACAUGAACACAUAUUUAACAAUCAUAAUAUUAUAGUAAUAUGCUAAAUAUUUAAAUAUUUUAAUUAUAUUAUAUACUAAUAUGCUAAAUAUUUAAAAGCGUUACUCGUAAUUAAUAAUAUUAUAUAUUACUAUUAUCAUUAUAAAUUUUAUUAUACAUACAUUUAUUAAGAAGAAUACAUUUAUGAUGUCAGCUAUACUUAAGGAUUGUUGUAUUUAAUAUACAAAAGUGUGGGAAGAUGCGAUCGGGGUAUUUAAUAUAUAUAUUACUUCAUUAUGACAUACAUAUAAAAUAAAUAAAAGGUGGAUUCCACUUAUUCUACCUACCAUUCAUGGACCAUAUAAGAUAUAUUAUUUUAUCUUUUUAUCUUAUAUUAUAUUAGAUUAUAUUUAACAAACUAAACAAGACAUAAAGGACAACCGUUGUAUCAAAUUUCAAACUUGAAUAGUUCAUGAACUAAGCAUCAUUGCCUUUUCUUGUCUCAAUAGAAUAAGCCUUUUAAUUGUUUUAUAUACAUUUAUUUCUUCAUCAAGCCUGUUUCUUUCAAGCUCCCUCUCUUGAGCUAGAAAUAUUAUAGUAGGAGCUAGGUGUUCCUUUCUGUAUAGCUCCAUCUCUAAUCAGGUAUCAGAGAAGAUAAAAAAUCUAAUUCCAGAAACUUCUACUUGGAUAAGAUUAGAAAGGCACAUUGUCCUACUACAGAAUAUGCCCAAUGGCAUAGACAAGGAAAUAACCCACUAUUUUCCACACAACAUAAAUUAAGACAGCCACACAUGUUUGCUUAUUUAGAUAGUGCAGCAUGAAAAUGAAAAAGUUGAAAACUACCAGGACCAGAGUCUAACCUCAUCCUAUUUGACAUCAGGAUAUAGCUCUGAAGCCUCCACUCCAAAUGAUGGCUCGAUCUCGAAGUUGGUCUGGUCACCCUUAACAAAAACAGAGUGAUCGAUCGAUAAUAUUGCGUUGAGUGGAGCUGAGGCUUCUGCAAGAAACAGUGGAAAACCCAUUAAUCUAAAGGUCUUAGCCAUCAUUAACAGAUCAACUAUAUAAACGGAUUUUGGAGCCAAAAUGGCCUCUAUGGCUGAAAAAUUAUCCUUUGUGGAGACCUUCUUAAACUUAUUAUCAAGGUAGACCUCUUCAUGUCAAGCAGGAGUCAUUAAAUUAAUUUUUUCCUUUUUAAACUUAAGUUGAAACCACGUUUUGAAAAGGGUUUUUGCAUGCAUGGGUCAAAAUAAUUAUCAAAUUGCAAAAAUGACCCCUCUCUUUAGUUUUAUUGAGAGAUGUUCCUCUUUAAACACUUUUACCCUUUCAGAAAGAUCAUCUCCCUACUUAUUUUAUUCAUUCUAUACAUUUCUCAAUUUCUCCAAUCUCAUUUAUCUUUUCAGUUCAUUUUUUUUUUUUUAUCUCUCUUCUUCCUAACUCUCUGAGUCUCUUGCAUUACCAUGACUUCAGUUUUAAGUGUGACCACCAACUUAAUUUUUUCAUUUUUCUGGCCUUAUCUUAAACUUGCUUUGUUUCUUUUUCAAUGGAUGACACUCUAGGAAAACUUGAUCUCAUUUCAUAAUGUCCCACCCAAUUUUCUUAUCUCUCAAACAACUCCUCAUUCUCAUUCUUGAUGUUCAACUGAAGUGUUAAGUUUUAUUUAUUACGAAUUUAACUAAGGUUAAAUUUUGAUUGAGAAUGAUAAGCUAAAUUACACAAGUGUUACGUUUGGUUGCAAAAAACUUAAUUAGAGUUAAAUUUUCAAUCAUAAUAGUAAUAUGAACCCCGCUAAGUUAAGUUUUAUUUACAAAAGACUUAUGUGGGGUUAGAUUUCUAUUUCAUUUACAAAGGACUUGAUUAUGGUAACCUGAACUAUACUCUGGUUAAGUUUCAUUUAAAAAUAACUUAAUUAGGGUUAAGUUUUUGUUUCACCUACAAAGAACUUGAAAAAGAUCAAGGUCUUGUUAAAAUGCUCAUUUUCACUUAACUACCGAAACAUAGGGCUCGAUAAAAAUAGAGUUGGAUAAGAGAUUUAGUAAAUAACAGCUUUCUAUUCAAUCUCAUCUUCGACGUUGUAGAAGUUCAAAUGAAAUUGCAAAAUAAUCCUAACAAAAAAAAUUAGAAAAAACCCUAACAAAAAACAAUGACAUAAAACCCAACUAAAAAGAAAGAGAAAGAUGAGAUUCGAUCUCAUCUUCGCCAUUAUAGAAGUUUACAUGAAACUCCUAACAAAAAACAACGACAAAAAACCUCAACAAAAAGCUUCAUCCAAAAACAACGAGAAAAAACGCUAACUAGAAACAAAGAGAGAGAUGGAGAUCUGACCUCAUCUUCUAUAUUGUAGAAGUUCAAAUGAAGCUGCAACCAAACAAAAAACAACUCCUAAAAUUUGAAAUGUAAAGGGCUCUAAUGUUUGUUCAGGGGUUUGGACUUCACUGGAAAAAGAGAUGGAACAUGAACUUAGAGAGAAGGAAGAACCUAGAGAGAAGGAGAAAGCUAGGUAUCAAAAAUAGAAGGAACAUUUUUGGAGGAAGUAAAGAAGAGUAAAAAUGUCCAAAAUUGGUCAUUUCUCUAAAGAAUGAAUAAGGGAAGUCAUUAUUUCGAUUUUAAAAGUAUUUUAGUCGACUUCAAUCGAGGUCUGGGGCAUGAUCAGCAGAUUUUACCAGCAGUCCAGGUAACAUUUUCUAACUCAAAACAAUUGAAUCAAAAACCAAUUUCAUUUAAACAAUCUAGCAUAAAGGGAAUGUCAUAUUCACAAUCUCUGUUCCAAUUUAAAUUCACUAGGAAAACCAAAGCUUGAACACUUCCAAAAAGGAAAAUGUUUCUCACUAACCUUGGAUGUUCUUCAGUCACUCUGGAACACAUGUUUCUUUAUUUAAUGGUGCAGCAUGAGAAUGAAAACUACCAGAACCAGGAAGUACCUCUCACACAAACUGGUUGAGGUACUCAUCCACAGUUGUGUAUUUGACAUCAGGAUAUAGCUCUGAAGCCUCCACUCCAAAUGAUGGCUUGAUCUCAAAGUUGGUGUGGUCUCCCUUAACGAAAACAGAGUGACAGAAUGCUAACAUCACAUUGAGUGGAACAGAGGCUUCUGCAAGAAACAGAGGAAAACCAUCAAUCUGAAGACAUUUACCAUCAUUAAAACAUCAACUAUAUGAACAGAGUUUAGGGCCAAAAAAUGGCCUCUGUGGUAAAAAAAUUAUCCUAUGUAGGAACCUUCCCUAACUUACCAUCAAACUAGAACUCUUGAUGCCACCUAGGCACAAUUUUUUAUUUUUUCCCUUUUUUAGUCAUAGGUUGAAACUGCAUUUUGAAAAUGCGGUUUCUGAUUUUAUGUGAAGCCACAUUUUGAACAAUGGCUUGAAACAUGAUCCAAACUCAAUAUCAUUUGACCAAAACAGGCCUUUUUUACCCAAAGUUCAUAUAAACACGUGAUACUUCCAAGUUCAACCAACUCCUCUUUCUUUCUUCUUUUUAUUCCCUUCUUUUUUCAAAUCCAAUGAGCAAUAGUGAAUUGUUAGUCUGUCAUAUGAAUCUCUUAGGAAGACCUUAAUCACGGUCUGGGGCAUGAUCACCAGAUUUUACCAGUAGGCCAGCUAACAUUUUCUAAGAAAAAAGAAUUGAAUCAAGAACCAAUUACAUUUUAACAAUGCAGCAUAAUGGGAAUGCUCUAUUCCCAAUCUCUGUUCCAAUUUAAAUUACUAGGAAAACCAAAGUUUGAACAGUUUCAAAAAAUGAAAAUGUUUCUCACUAACCUUGGAUGUUCUUCAGAACUUGCUCCUCUGGAACAUAUAUCUUCUCAAGGGUUUUUCCAAUCUUCUUUUCCCAUAAGGAGACAAUUUCGUUGAAUGAGUAGGUGUUCUGAGGAGGCCUGAUGUAAAGGAUUUUGUUCAAGGUUCUAGGAUCAUCCGCAGCUUUAAUGGUAUAGGUGCCAAUGUCAUCCUCCUUGUUAAAAACAGCUGGAGAUGCAAAAAUGAAAUGAGUAAAAUAGAGUAGAAUCAUCUUCCUAUUCCUUCAAGCUUGGACUACUCCGUAAUUCCACUUUUUUUGUUUACAGAACACAAACUUGAAAUUAUUUUGAUAUGAAACCAAGUUAUUGUUUUCAUUUAAUGCUCAUGUCAAAAACUCUCAGCUGGAGAGCAACCCAAGAGGACUGUCAAUAUAAAAAAAGAGGCUUUAGCCCAUCCAGUUCAGAUAAUAAUGAUUAAUUACUAGAAGUGCACAAUGGUUCCUCAGUUUGACCACUCCAGGUCACAUGGAUCAUGCUAGUUUCCUGUAUUAUGGCUCAAUUGCAAUGUAGCACCCAAGCAGUCAACCUCAACUGUCGGAAGGUUUUGUUUCUGGGUGAACGGGUUUAACCAGCUGGGGAAAGGGGGAGUGGGGUGGGGUUGUCCAGGUUUCAAAUAGCCACAUUCUGAUUUUCAGGAAUAUAGACCAUUCUCACCUCAACAACGCUGGCAACCCCAUCAAUUUUUUUGCCUGGAGAAGGAUAAUAUGCAGCUAUUGGUUGGUGAAAUGGUAAAUUACACUCUCAAAAGGAUUCCAUGCUCAUCUACAUAACCCGCUGAUUAGUAUUACUUUUUAAGCCCACUAUCAUCAGAUGUCACUGAUACAUGGACCGGUGCAUUCUAACAUCAAAACGAGAAAAUGCAAUGGGAAAUUAAGUUGUAUGAUUUUCAGAGGUUGCUUACCUUUUGGAUUCCCAUCUCCUAAAAUAAUAACUUUAUCCCUGGGGGGAGCGGUGGCUCCAGGCUGUGAAAAUGUAGGAAGGAAAAAGCCAGCAAAUGUGUUGGAGGACACAUAGGUGUAGGGAAUUCCUUCAGCCUCAAUAGUGCGGCGGAUUUGAGCCUUUAUCUCAAAGGCUGUUUUUGCUGGCUCAACCGCAUGUACACGGUCCACAUCAUUUCCAAACUCUGAUGGGAAGAAUCUCUGGAUGAAAUAAAGCACUUUAAGAAGAAGCUGUAUAACUCAAUAGAUUGAAAAACGGGUCAUAUCUAUUUAGUCAUAUUAGCUCACGACAGGGAUCCUAUAUGGGAUACACUUUGACGAACUUGAUACAAGUGUUCAGCAACCAUAAAGACAUACAAUUAGCAAUUCAAACGAUGGAAGGAAAGAGUGCACUGAUCAGGAUUCUUAAAAAGUGAAAGAAAAAACCAUGUAAGAAAUGUGAAAAAAAAAACUACCAAACUUCAUUCAUAGAAGGAAAAUGCGCACUAAUCAGGAUGCUUAGAAGAUGGAAGAAUAAAAACUAAAUGAAAACAGGAGAAAAAAAAAAAAAAAAACUUCAUUCUUGUUUAGUUGUCUUGCUGCUUUUUGAAGCCUUUUGUAUACCAUUUGUCUACAUUGGGUGUGCUGUCUUUUUUUGUUAGGCGCUUCUCUGUUAAUAUAGUUUGUUUUUAGCCUAUCAAAAAAAGGGGGGGGGGGGGGUGGUGGUUGUGGGUGUAUACAAUGGAUUGGAAGUGGUAUAGCAUGCCCCAUGAAAGGGAAUUAGUAUUUAAAAUUUUUUCCUUUUUACAUCAAAAAUUAAGAUUGACUUUAAAGCAUCGAUCCAACCUGAGUCAAUGCACAUGGAUCUAGACAAGAAUCAAGAUUGUUGAUCCUCAAUGAAUAUUGUAUAUAUGGAAUGUUCUUUCAUGCACUUCCAACAUUUCUAAAGAAGGUAUUAUUACAUUAUGCACAAAGGAUAAAGAUAUCACCAACAAAUUAUAACAAAUUCCAAUAAUAAAUAUCAUAGUACUCGGAUUUGCAAAGAAAAGAGGGAAUUAGAAAGAAGAAAAGGAGAAAAGGAGAGAAAUUUCGUCAAUUUGGACAACUUUACCUUGACAUUUCCAGCUUCUUUGAUGGCAGCAAUGAUCUUGACUUGAUCCGACAACUGUGCGCGACCAACGGUCGAGAUGACCACAUCCACUAGAUUAAUCGCCUUCACCAAACUCUCGUGAUCGUAUAGAUCACCCUGCAACAUAACAUAACCAAUCAAUAAACUAUUUCAUAACCCUAAUUCCCCAGUUAAGAAGUAAGAAUCCAAAAGCAGGUGUGUUUUUUCACUUUACUGAAACCAAAAUAACUUAAAACAUAAACAUCCGAACUUUUCUUUUCCUGAGGAUCGCCACUUUUUUCUUUCUGGAUGAAUGAAGAAUUCCAGUUUUCGUUUUUUUAGGAACUUAAACAUCCAAAAAUUCAAGAACUCCAAUUAAUUUCAUUCAUUUUCUCGGCGGCCAAAAGAAGCAAAAAUUAGAAAACCAAGAAUAGCGAGAAAUGAGAGCGAAUAUUACGUACAUACACCAAAGUCACGCCGGAGCUCUUGAAAAUCUCAAUGAUUUCCGACUUGGAAGGAUUCGAAACGGCGGAUUCUCUGACGAGAGCGAAGGUAGGGUGACCGGACUUAGCGCUGGCAGCGACGAUGAAUUUUCCGAUGUAGCCAGUGCCGCCGAUUAUGAGAAUCUUGCUCUUUUCGGACAUUGUGAGCUUUUCCGGCGAAUCUCCCGCGAGAAAUGUGGAAUUGAGAGGACUAAGCGAAAGGUGACUGGAGAGUUGGUGGGCACCAACGGCCAAAGACAAUGCUCUUGUAGGACAGAGCUCGAGGAUAUUAGGAUUAUGUAAUUACGGAACUAGCCUUGUGUUUUGGUGGUAAUCUCCGUUUUGGUUAUAUUUUGAAUGUGGCUUGAUUUUUAUGUGAUUCAUGAAUGUGUCAAAGUUCGCUUGUUUGAAAAUUGGUUUAGAUUGGAAAGUGAAAAAGUGUAUAUCACAUGAGAGAUUUAUAAAUAGAAAAAAAUGUAUUUUCACACACUAAUGUAAAAAUAAUUACAAAAUAAAAACUCUUUAAAUAAUUAUAAAAUAAAAACCCUUUAAAAAUAAUUUAAAUUUUAUGCACUCAUCGAGUACAUGAAAUGAUAAUUUAAUAUAGUUAUGUGUAACGACCCGCUCUCCCAAUAAUGACUCCCCUAGCUUUAAAAAAACGUCUUUAGGAUUAAGAUUGAUACUAUUUAUAAUAACUCGUAAAACCUAAAAAGGUCAUCACGACUUUAAAAUGCGUUUGCAAGAUUAAAAAAAAAUAAAAAAAAUUAUACUUAGAUAGUGUUAGGAACUUUCUCCCCUAUCUGAUGUGUGAUGUUACAAAUAUCCCCCAUGCAGACACAACAUCCUUGUUGUAUCUCAUGGAAUUGUGGAAUUAGAAUGAUAAUUUAAUGUAAUUAUGUGUAACGAUCCACCCUAUUUGAUGUGGGAUGUCACAAAUAUCCUCAUGCAGACACAACGUCUUUGUUGUAUCUCAUGGAAUUGUGGAGUUAAAAUGAUAAUUUAAUGUAGUUAUGUGUAAUGACUCGUUGUCCCAAUCAUGUAGAUAUUAUUCGUUUUGGACCCAAAAAAUGACUUUCCUGACUUUAAAAAAACGUCUAUGUGAUUAAGAUUGAUAUCGUUUAUAAUAACUCGCAGAACCUAAAAAGGUCCCCACGACUUUAAAAUGUGUUUACAAGAUUUUUAAAAAAAAUUAUACUUAUAUAGUGUUAGGAACUUUCUCUCCAUAUGAUGUGAGAUGUCACAAACAUCCCUAUGCAGACACAACGUCCUUAUUAUAUCUCAUGGAAUUAUGGAGUCAAAUAGACAAACACUCCCUAUGAGGCAAACAAACUCCCACACCGAAAUCAGAGAUCAAUUCCGAUAUUAUUUGUAACGAUCUACUCUCAAUUAUAUAAAUAUUGUCCAUUUUAAUCCGAAAGGGCAUUACAGUUUUAAAACGUGUGUACAGGAUUAAGAAAAGCCUUUACAUAUACAGUGUCAUGAUUUUUUUUUUCCUAUCGGAUGUGAGAUGUCAUAUUAUGAAUCCGUCAUUCUGUCUUUAUUCAUUUGUUGCAUUUAAGAUAUUUGAAAAAUUGAGCGAUUUUAUAAAAUGAGUUUUGAAAAGGCAUGAGAGAAGGAAAAAGAUACUAGUUUAAUUAAGGCUUACAACCCGGUCUUCUUAAAGGGUGGUUAAAUUCCCUGCCUAUUAAAUUUCUUAUCAGGUCGUUAGUCAAUGGAUCUAUUAAAUUCUAGUAUGACUUUGUAGAGUAGUAAUUACUCCAUGGGUGAGUAAUUAUUAAUAUGUAGCUGGGAUCAUUAGUAUAUUUUACUACAUUUCCAAUAGAAAAUGCUACCUCAAAUAAGUUACAUGUCUCCGCGAGACACUCAAGAAUUUCAGCAUAUUCCAAGACUUGACUUCCAAGUUAGCCAAAAGACAUGGAUAUGAGAUUUCAAUUGAAAUGAUUAAACCUUUUUAGAAUGUUUUCACUAUAAUUUCAUCGGCACAAAAAAAUAAUUAUAAAACACUAAAAUCUCUUUUAAAAACAUGUCUUUUAUUUUUAAAUUUAAACACUUACUCAUCAUUUUUAUUAGGAAUGAUAAUGAGACAAGUUUUUUUAGAUAUUUGUCUGCCUUGUUCUUAAUGAAAUGGGUUUAAAAUUUAAAUAAACGAAAUUAGAAUGAAUUUGGGAUUUUUUUAAAAACUUGGUACUAGCUAUUGUCUUUUCUCAUCCUAUCUAAAUUAUAUAUAAAAUUAAUUUAGUUUUAUUUUUAUUUCCCUAUUUGAUAUAUAUAUAUAAUUAUUUAUAAAAUACAUUUAUUUUAAUGUAAUUAAAUUUAAAAAAAUCAAAAUAAAUAAAUAAAUAAGACGAGAUGGGCAUGAAAAAUUCACAUACCUACCUUAUUUAAUUUUUUAAAUAAGAUAGAAAUGAGAAUUAUUUUGAAUAAACAAGAUAAGGUUGAAAUGAGAUCAACUCGUCUUAAACUAGUCUCGUUGCUAUCUCUAUUUUUUAUACUUUUUUAGUUGAAAGGGAUAAAUGAAUUAAAGUUAAGGAUUAAGAUUAAAUAUUCUACUUUACAAAAAAAAAAAUGAGACUAUUAAAUAUUAUUAGAAUUUUAUCAACUAGUCAUAAGAGUUUAAAAAAGAAAAUAUUGAUGAACAAUUCGUAGGAGGAAAUGAAUUGAGAAUAAAUUGACCUAGUGAACCUUCAGUUGCAUUGCCUCCUACUAUGUUCCACUUAUUCAGAAACGAAAGAGAAAGGAUGAGGGAUCUAUAACUAUAAGUUAAAAGGACAAAGGAUCAGGACAAAUAGAGGAUAUAUAUUAUGAGAUAUUAUUUCUAAUAGAAUAUGAUAUUUUAAAAUAUUGCAUUUAAUAUCAUUUAGAAAUUCUUCUCUUAUUUUUAUUUUAAUAAAUAAUUUUUAGUAUUUUAGUAAUAAUGUUUAUGAUUAUAAAUAAUAUAUAUAUAUAUAAAAUUAUAUUAUAUACUAAUAUGCUAAAUAUUUAAAAGCAUUACUAGUAAUUAAAUGAUACUAUAUAUUAAUAUGAUCAUUAUAAAUUUUAUUAUACAUAUAUUUUUUAAUUCUUUUAUUAAGAAGAAUAAAUUUAUAAUGUCAGUUAUACCUUAGGAUUGUUGUAUUUAACAUAUAGAGAUACAAAAGCGAGGAAAAAUGCAAAAGAAACUAUGAUUGAGUUAUUCUAUCAUUUACCGACCAAACAUGAUACAAAAUAUAUUAUCUCAUCUUUUAUCUUAUAUUAUAUUAUAUUCAACAAACUAAACAUAACAUAAUAGACCGACAUUCUAUCAAAUUUCUCGUAUUGUGAUUUUAAAACUUGAAUAGUUCAUGAACUAAACAUUAUUGCCUUUUCUUGUCUCAAUGGAAUAAGCGUUUUAAUUGUUCUAUAUGCAUUUCUUCAUCAAGCUCCCUCUUUUGAGCUAGAAAUAUUAUAUUAGGAGCUAGGUACUCCUUUUUGUAUAGCUCCAUCUCUAAUAAGGUACCAAAGAAGAUAAACUACAAAGGCAAAGAAAAUCUAAUUCCAGAAACUUCUACUUGCAUAAGAUUAGAAAGGCACAUUGUCCUAUUACAGAAUAUGCCCAAUGGCAUAGACAAGGAAAUAACCCACUAUUUUCCACACAACAUAUAUUAAGACAGCUGCACAUGUUUGCUUGUUUAGAUAGUGCAGCAUGACAGUGAAAACUACCAGGACCGAAGUCUACCUCUCAAACAAGCUGGUUGAGCAACUCAUCCACAGUUGUGUAUUUGACAUCGGGAUAUAGCUCUGAAGCCUCCACCCCAAAUGAUGGCUCGAUCUCAAAGUUGGUUUGGUCUCCCUUAAUGAAAACAGAGUGAUCGAUUGAUAAUAUUGCAUUGAGUGGAGCAGAGGCUUCUGCAAGAAACAGAGGAAAACCCAUCAAUAUGAAGAUUUUAGCCAUCAGAUCAACUAUAUAAACAGAUUUUGGGGCGAAAAUAGCCUCUAUAACUGAAAAAUUAUCAUAUGUGGAUACCUUCUUUAACUUAUUAUCAAGCUAGGCCUCUUCAUGUCACCUUGGAGUCAUUUAAUUUAAUUUUUUCCUUUUUAAAUGUAAGUUGAAAAUGCAUUUUGAAAAGAGUGUUUGGACACACGAGUCAAAAUAAUUAUCAAAUUGUAAAAAUAACCCUUUUUUCAAUUUUGUUGAGAGAUCCCAGCAGUCAAAAUAAUCAUAUAAUCAAACCCAGUCUUUUUCUUCCCAACCUUUUUUUUUUUGGCCUUAUCUUAAACUUGCUCUAUUUCUUUUUCAUUUAAGACACUCCAGAAAAACUCAAUCUCAUUUCAUAAUGUCCCACUGAAUUUUCUUAUCUCUCAAACAACUUCUCAUUCUCAUUCGUGAUGUUCACCUAAAGUGUUCUAUGAUUAAAUUUUAUUUAUUACGAAUUUAACUAAGGUGAAAUUUUCAUUAAGAUUGGUUAGCUGAAUUGCACUAGUGUUAUGUUUGGUUGUAAAAAACUUAGUUAGAGUUAAAUUUUCAAUCAUAAUAGUAAUAUGAACUCCACUAUGGUUAAGUUUUAUUUACAAAAAACUUAAGUGGGGUUAGAUUUCUAUUUCAUCUACAAAGAACCUGAUUAUGGUAACUUGAACAAUCCUCUGGUUAAGUUUCAUUUAGAAAGAACUUGAUCAGGGUUAAGUUUCCAUUUCACCUAUAAAGAACUUAAGUAAGAUCAAGGUCUUAAUUAAAAUGUUCAUUUGCAUUGAACUACCAAAACAUCGGACUUAGUAAAAACAAAGUUAGAUGAGAGAUCUAGUAAAUGAUAAGUUUCUAUCUGAUCUCGUCGUCAACAUUGUAGAAGUUCAAAUGAAAUUGCAAAAUAACCCUAAUAAAAAAAAAAUUAGAAAAAACCUCUAACCAAAAACAAUGACAAAAAACAAAACUAAAAACAAAGAGAAAGACGAGAUUCGAUCUCAUUUUCGUCACUAUAGAAACUUACAUGAAACUACAAAAAACCUUAGCAAAAAACAACGACGAAAAACAAAGAGAGAUGGAGAUCUGACCUCAUCUUCUAUAUUGUAGAAGUUCAAAUGAAGUUGCAAAACCCCUAACAAAAAACAACUCCUAAAAUUUGAAAUAGAUAAGGCUCUAAUCUUUGUUCAAGGGUUUGAACUUCACCAGAAAAAGAGAUAGAACAUGAACUUAGAGAGAAGGAGAAGGCUAGGUAUAAAAAAAUGGAAGGGGCAUUUUUGGAGGAAAGAAAGAAGAGUAAAAAUGUCCAAAAUUGGUCAUUUCUCAAAGGGAAGUCAUUAUUUCGAUUUUAAAAGCAUUUUAGUCGACUUCAAUCGAGGUCCGGGGCAUGAUCACCAGAUUUUACCAGCAGGUCAGCUAACAUUUUCUAAGUUAAAAACAAUUUAACCAAGAACCAAUUUCAUUUUAACAAUCUAGCAUAAAGAGAAUGUUCUAUUCACAAUCUCUGUUCCAAUUUAAAUUCACUAGGAAAACCAAAACUUGAACACUUCCAAAAAGGAAAAUGUUUCUCACUAACCUUGGAUGUUCUUCAGAACUUGCUCCUCUGGAACGUAUAUCUUCUCAAGGGUUUUUCCAAUCUUCUUCUCCCACAAGGAGACAAUUUCGUUGUAUGAGUAGGUGUUCUGAGGAGGCCUGACGUAAAGGUUUUUGUUCAAGGUUCUAGGAUCAUCCACAGCUUUAAUAGUAUAGGUGCCAAUGUCAUCCUCCUUGUUAAAAACAGCUGGAGAUGCAAAAGUGAAAAUGAGUAAGAUAGAAUAGAAUCACCUUCUUAUUCCUUCAAGCUUAGACUACUCUGUAAUUCCACCUUUUUUCUUUUACAAAACACAAACUUAAAAUUAUUUUCAUAUGAAACCAAGUUAUUGUUUUCAUUUAAUGCUUAUUUUUUCAAAAACUCUCAGUUGGAAAGCAAACCCCAGAGAACUGUUGAUAAAAAAAAGAGGCUUUAGCCCAUCCUGUUCAGUUUAAAACCCAAUAAUAAUUAUUAGUUACUGGAAAUGCAUAAUGGUUCCUUCAGUUCAACCCCUCCAGGUCACCUGGAUCAUGCUAGUUUCCUGGAUUAUGGCUCAACUGCAGUGUCACACCCAAGCAGUUGACCCCAGCUGUCCGGUUUUCAAAUAGCCACAUUUUGGUUUUCAGGAAUACAGACCAUUCUCACCUCAACAACACUGGCAACCCCAUCAAAUUUUCUGCUUGGAGAAGAUAAUAUGCAGCUAGUGGUUGAUGAAUGCACAUUCAAAUAACCCAUUGAUUAGUAUUACCUUUUAAGCCCACUAUCAUCAGAUGUCAUUGAUCAUGGGAGCGAGUGCAUUCUAAGGUCAAAAGAAGAAAAUGAAACAGAAUUUCAGUUGUUUUACGAUUUUCAGAGGUUGCUUACCUUUUGGAUUACCAUCUCCUGGAAUAAUAAUUUUAUCCCUGGGGGGACCAGUGGCUCCAGGCUGUGAUAAUCUAGAAACGAAAAAGGCAGCGGUGGCUUCAAGCUGUGAUAAUCUAGGAAGGAAAAAGCCAGCAAAGAAGUUGGAGGACACGUAGGUGUAGGGAAUCCCUUCAGCCUCAAUAGCGCGGCGGAUUUGAGCCUUUAUCCCAAAUGCUGUUUUUGCAGGGCCAACCGCAUGGAUACGGUCCACAUCAUUUCCAAACUCUGAUGGGAAGAAUCUCUGGAGGAAAUAAAGCACUUUGAGAAGAAGUCAUAUGACUUGAUAGAUGAAAAACCACUCAUAUCUAUUUAGUCAUAAUAGCUCACAGACAGGGAUCAUCCAUGGGAUACACUAUGAUGAACUUGAUACAAGUGUUCAGCAAGAAUAAAGUUACACUUAGCAAUUCAAAUGAUGGAAGGAAGAAGUGCACCGAUCAGGAUGCUUAAAAAGUGAGAGAAAAAACUAAAUGGAGAAGGUGAAGAAAAAAGCUACCAAACUUCAUUCAUGAAAGGAAAAAGUGCACCAAUCAGGAUGCUUAAAAAGUGGAAGAAAAAACUAAAAGAAAAAAGGUAAAAAAAAAAAAAAAAAAAACCCACCAAACCUCAUUCUGUCCUGAAUCACUUCAGUUUUAAUUUUUAAUUUUUAAUUAUUUAAUUAGUGCUCAAAACAUUUGACACUAUUAAAUUAGUCAUUUGACAUAAUGUAUAUGAUGUUAUCCAAUACCCUAUGUUUGUUGCAUAAGUAUAGUCUCCUUACACAUGGGUUCAAUAAAUUGAGAAAAUGAAUAAACGGUGAAGUUUGAACAAAUGAUUUCCAACCAAAAAAAGGAUCUUAUGCCAUGUUGGACAACCGAUUUACCUAAAACUUAAGUUGUUAGGAUUUAAGCCCACGGUGUAUAUCAUGUUGCCCAUCAGUAUCUAUAUCCAACGAAAGGUCAAGAACCUCCUUGAAACGAUCCUAUUCUAACUUGCCCCUAGCUGCCAAACCCUCAAGGGCAUUAGCCUAAGGGCACAAAGUCAAUAUAGCUCAAGAACCUUCCUGAGAUGUUCCUAUUCCAGCUGACCCUAGCGGCUAGAUCUUCAAGGGCAUUAGCCUAAGGGUGCAAAGUAAAAACCAAGUUUGAGAACCUCCUUGAAAGGACCCGAUUAUAAUUGGUCCCUGGCAGCUAGGCCUUCAGGGACAGAGCAUAUGAGUGUAAAGCCAUUCCAGGACAAGAACCUCCUUAGAAGGACCCCAUCACAAUAGACCCCUAUUGGAGCCUAAGAACAAAAAAUGAAUAAUCAUAUGAAGAAAUAAUAAAACAAAGCAUAAAAGAUAGAAGAGAAGAUAAAAAUAACAAUAUCCUAUGCCACCUCAUUGUCCCCUCCUUCCUUGGAUGAUGCCUCGCUUUUAUCAUUGUCCUCCUCAUCGAUUUCCCCCAAGGCCUUCAUUCGACCCAUGAGCUUGUCGACUUUCAAAAAAUGCUCUUGCAUUAUUGAACCUUAUGAAUAAAAUUAUCUUUUACCACUGUCCACAAAUGAUUUUUUUUUUAAAAGAAUGGCUUUGUCUUAGAGUUCUAUCCUUUUCUUUCUGUUUCUCAUGGAUAAAAAAAACCCCAACCCAAAUAUUUUUUUAUAACAAGGAUAAUUUUUUAUACCUAAAGAAUUAAAAUCGACUUUCAAACACCUAAGCGUUGAGACUCAACUCAAUCCAACCUCAGUCAAUUAACAUGGAUCCAGCAAGAAAAGAUUGUUCAUCCUCAAUGAAUAUUGUGAAGAUGGAAUGUUCUUCCAUGCCUUUUCAACACUCUCAACAUUUCUAAAGAUGGUAUUACUACAUCAUGCGCAAAGGAUAAAGGAAUUACCGACAAAUUAUUACAAAUUCCAAUAAUAAAAAUCAUAGGAACUUGUAUUUGCAAAGAAGAGAUGGAAAUAGAAAGAAGAAAAGGAGAGGAAGAGAUUUCGUCAAUUUGGACGACUUUACCUUGACAUUUCCAGCUUCUUUGAUGGCGGCAAUGAUCUUGACUUGAUCCGAGAACUGUGCGCGACCAACGGUCGAGAUGACCACAUCCACUUGCUUAAUCGCCUUCACCAAACUCUCGUGAUCGUGUAGAUCUCCCUGCAACAUAACAGAACCAAUCAAAAAACUAUUUCAAAGCUGUAAUUCUUCAAUAAGAAGUAAGAAUUCAAAAAUUGGUGUGUGUUUCCACUUUGCUGGAACCAAAGCAAAUCAAAACAUAAACAUCCAAAAUUUUCUUUUCUUUUCCUGCGAAACACUACUUUUUCUUUCUUUCUGGAUGAGUGAAGAGUCUCAGUUUUCUUUUUCUUAGGAACUUAAACUUCCAACUCCAAUGAACUUCGUUCAUUUUCUCCGCGGCCAAAAGAAACAAAAACUAGAAAAGAAAAAAUGGCGAGAAAUGAGAGCGAACAGUACGUACAUAUACCAAAGUCACGCCGGAACUCUUGAAACUCUCAAUGAUUUCCGACAUGGAAGGAUUCGAAACGGUGGAUUCUCUGACGAGAGCGAAGGUAGGGUGACCGGACCUAGCGCUGGCAGCGACGAUGAAUUUUCCGAUGUAUCCAGUGCCGCCGAUGAUGAGAAUCUUGCUCUUUUCGGACAUUGUGAGUUUUUCCGACCAAUCUCCGGCAAGAAAUGUGGAAUUGGAAAAGGCUAGCAAGCAGUAAGCAAUGACGACUGACGAGUAGUGCAGUACUGCAGUGUUCUUAUAUAACAAAGCUUGAGGCUAUAUAGAUUAUGUAAUUACGAAACUAGCCUUUUCUUUCAGCAGUAAUUCCCGCUUUGGUCAUCAUAUGUAUGUGGCUCGAUCUUUGUAUGAUUCACGUGUCCCGAUUCAUAUUUGUUUGAAAAUCGGCUUAGAUUAGUCCAAUUUACAAGACUACACCAUCUUUAAUUUGACAAGAGCAUAUAAUAUAUAUAUAUAUUGUAGCAAUCAUUAAUAUUUUAUUUUAUUUUUGGCACGUGUAAUUUUAUCUCUAGCUCCCAUAUCUUAUUUUAUUGCACACUUUUGACUCCGUUUGGCCAUAUUGAUAUAUAUCAUAGAUUUGCCUUAGAUUUUGGUUAAUAAAAUUUUAAUCAUUAUUGCACGUUUUUAUUCUCCACCCAUGUUUAAUAGUAUAUUUUAGAGACUUAUCGUGGAUAACCACCCCUUCACCUCUCCUACUGAAUUGUCAUUUGAUAUUGCUUGGGGAUCCCACAGAGUUGUCUAGUUGAUAGGUUGAUAAAAUUUACAUGCACGGUCAUUUUCAUGUCCUUAAAGCAAAUACAAAUUAAAAUGUGAUCGAUUGAUGCUAAGAUUUGAAUUUAUCUAUUUAAUAUAAAAUUGUCAUGGUCAAAUGUUUAUUGCUACUCCACGAUAGAAUGAUGAUUUUUAUUUUUGUGACAGUAACAUUUCAAAUUAUAAAAAACAAUGAAUUAAACAAUAUUUUUAUAUUCUUUACAAAAUCUUGGAUGUUUAAAAUUAGACCCUUUAAAUAGACACGUGACUUAAAUGGAAUACCAUAUUUGGGAAUGCACUACACUUAACUUGGAUUGGAAUAUAAUUCAAAAUGGAUAACAAUUAGGAAUGCACCAUGCUUAUUUGGAAUUAAGGGAGAGAGGGAUGACUGUUGGAAUCAUGAAAUGUUAUGGAACGGACCCCUUUUUAAAGAUGUAGAUGUCCCUUAAAGAAACGCUUCCAUCAAAAGAGUUGCACCUAACUAAUAAGAGAUGGGAAUGACUUCCAAAAAAUGUAUCACUUCAUGUUGGUGGCCUUUUUAUUAAACCUAGAAGCAUGUGGGGUUAGGCUCACACAUAUCUGGUGUGGCUUGUGCACAUGUGAGCCUAUGUUAGGCCCAAGUCCACAUUCAUCUAGUUGGAUAUAUGCAUAUGUGAGUUUAUGUAAAAACCCAUGUUUUCUUUUAAGCUUACAAAAUACUUGUAAAGUACCUUUUCGACUAGUGAUCUUCUAAGAAACGCUUCCAUCAAAAGAGUUGCACCUAUCUAAUAAGAAAUGGAAAAGGCGUCUAAAGAAGAUCUCACUUUAUGUUGUUGGUGACCUUUUUUCAAUGUUUUUAAAAUUGGACCGAUUAUUAAAUAUAAAAAAAUUACUCAUUCACGGUUCAUUAAUCGGACUGACAGUUGAACCAGUAACGUCAUAAAUAUAUAAUUUAUAAAUUAUUAAAAUAAAAAUAAAAAUGUAUGUAUUGUUUAAAAAUUAAAAUUUUAUUUGAAAAUCAGAAAAUUAGUUUUAAAAUUAAAAUUAAAAUUAAAAUCAUGGGGGGGAGGGGGAGGGGAGGGGGUUCGUUCUGCCAGUGAGAGAGCGACGUCCGACCAAUCAGCAAUUGACGAUAGUGGGAAGAAGCAGCUAGGGUAGUAGGGUAAGAGGGGUUAUUGGAAAAAAUAAUAAUAAUAAAAGAAAGGUUGAACGGUUCAAUGGUCAAAUCGUCGGUUCAAUCGGUCUAAUUCUGGUUUGACUACUUUUCGACCUAAUUCAUCAAACCAAACCGAAAUUGUGACUUGCUGGUUCGAUCCAAUUUUUAAAACCGUGUAUUUUUAUUAAACCUAAAAGGUGGGUGUAGGAUCACACCUAUCCAAUGUGGCUUGUGCACACGUGAGCCUAUGUUACGCCCAUGUACACAUUCAUCCAAUUAGGUCCAUGCAUAUGUGAGUUGAGGUUAAAAACCAUGUUUUCUUUUUACCUUACAAAAUACUUAUAAAGUACUUUUUCUGACUACUAAUCUUCUAAUGUGGGAUUGCUUUUUUCCACCACAUUCCACAUGAAUGCAUAGGUAACUUUGAGCUCAAUUUGUCAUUAACCCAUAAAUGGUUUUGAGUAUGUAAAUUUCUUAUCCACCAAUACCUACUCGUGCAGACGUUAUUGGUUAUCAUUUGGAGAAAGGUGUCCAACCUAUUGAUUGUUGUAAUUUAGAUUGUCCCAAUUCUAAUAGUUGUGGUUUUAAGGCCUAGAAUUGUUUCGUUGAUUCUCAUCUUAACCCUUCUCUUUAUUCAAUGACUUCCCUUGAAAGUAUUAUUUGAUGAUCUCCUAUCAGGGGGUUGGUCUCUUUCUUAUCUUCUCUUCUUUUUAAAUAGUCCAUUACCUUAUCAUGCAAUUCUUUAAAUGAGAUAGCAGUAUCACAAGCUCUCACAACAACAGUGGUCUCUUUGUAUUUUGAACCUAAUUCAUUGAGAGUGUAAACCACCAGAUCAUCAUUGUGCAAGAGUGAACUAAUAAUAGUAAGUUCAUCAACAAUACUUUCGAAGAUUUGGAUGUAUUCACUAAUAGUUUUUUGUUCUUUGAUCGUUUUUAUAGCCUUUCCCAUGAGGUUAGGAUGCAUGACCUUGAGUAAUUGGCAUUAAGUUUUUUUGGGUGAGACCAUGACUCUAAUGCCUUAGUAGCACAAACCACAAAACAAAAAUAGACUCCAAACUACAAUCUAACAUGAGAUGAAAUAACAAAUUAUUUUAAGGUUAAUUUUGUUGACUUUCCAUGAGGUUUUGACUAAAUAUAUUUAGUUCAUAUUAGUUUGAAAUUUCAUCAAAUACCUCCUCUACCCUUCUCACAAAUUAUUUCACUUACCUGUCUUCUAACUCAAAAUAAAGGAAGUAUUUGACGAUAUUUUAAAUUUAUAAAAACUAGGUAUAUUUAACCAAAACUUGAGGGAAAGUAAGUGAAAUUAACCUAAUUAUCUUACUUUUAAUAUAGCCAAUAUUCCAUAUCUCGUAUUGGUACUUUCCUUCUCCUUUCAAAUUGUUGUAGAAGGGCAAAGAUAUGACCGUUGUUACAUGUGCUAAAUCAUAGUAGUAUAUAAAGAAGCAUGCGGAACUAAACUCUUCACAAUGGAAAGUUUUUAAUCGUAGUUACAUCACUACAUCAAUCAACUCUGUGGUGCUAAUUUGGUAAAAUGUCAAAAGACUUUGACCCAUUAAAGGUAAAAAAGAAUAAAAAUAAAAAUUUGUUGUAGCAAUGGAUACUCUAAAACCAUAAAUACAAAGAAUUUAUAUAACCUAUCACUCGUAUUAUUUUACAUUGUAUAAGUUUACAAUAGAAAUGAUCGACUAAAUAUACAUUGGUAAUAUUAUAGCUUAGGGUCAAAUGUCAUGCGUUAUGAAUGUAAAGAAAAAUUGAACUUGAUGAUUUGGUUGAGCCUUUAUUUGCCAUUAAUAUAUGCCUUUAUGGACUGUCCACUGUAAAUUCCUUUCACUCCUCUCAUUGAAGAAUGAAACUCCACACUUUAUUCAAGUUUAAAAUGUUUUCUUGCAUAUUAAGGAGGAAAUUAAAAAAUAAAUAAAUAAAUAAAGGAAAGGAAAAUGAUCCGUUAAAAAACUAUAUUAUGAAUGUUAGAUAUCUUAAAAAACAAAAAAAUAUAUAUUUGUAGACCCCAUUUUGGGGAGCUGUCAUUUUUCUCACGUUUCCUUUCUUGCAGCUAGCUGUGGCCAAGUGUCACCAUCUUGCAUGGCCACGUGUCACUCCCGGAUUAGUCAAUAUGGGAUCAAAAUAGUGGAAUUGAUGGACCCAUCAGAGGAAGACACCUGGAAAGUGAAGAACAUUCUGGAAUCAGGGGAGCGUAUCUUCUGUUAUGGGAAGGUUGCCAGCUGCAGGAGUAGAGGAGUGGAGGCUGGUUGCUGCAGAGAGAGUGGAGGCUGGCAGAGGAGUGGAGGAGAGGUUUUGCUUUUGAAAAGGCCGUUAGAGAUAUUUUUAGGAUGAGGCAGCGGCAUUGAAGGGGAGAGUUUGGAGAGAUUCUUGAGGAGCAAGCUAGAUAUUGAAAAGAGAGAACGAGACAGAGAGAGCUGCAUUGAGAGGGAGGGAUUUCUUUUAAGCUGAGGCUGGUUGCUGCAGAGAGAGUGGAGGCUGGCAGAGGAGUUUUGGAGAGAAAGAGAAGGGUUUUUGGAGAGAAAGAGAAGGGGUUUUGGAGAGAAAGAGAAGGGUUUUUGGAGAGAAAGAGAAGGAGUUUUGGAGGGAACAGAGAGCUAGAGGGGGAGGAAAAACACUAGGAAGAAAAACAGAGAAAUCAGAAGAGACGGUUUUGGGUAGAGGAGGUUAUCAAGAACCAGAAGAAAAGGGCCUCCAGGUUCUUUUUGAGGGGUAAGUUUUCCACUGUGUUCUUGUUCUUUCUUUUUCUCUUCAUAUAUUGUUGUUGAGAUGCAUUGUUGUUGAUCUUUGGAUGGGUUAUACUCUGUUCUUCAUGGUUGACUGCUCCCCUUUUGCUUCUGUUUAUGGCUGAAAAUUGAUUUAAAUCCAUUUUUACCUUCUUUGUGGCAUUUUAAAGAAAGAAAAAGACCUUUUAAUUCACCCAUCUGCAAACCCACUAAUGAAGAGGUGAAGCAUAGUUCUUCAUGCUUCAUCUCAUUUUUCUUCCUCCAUGGCUCUGUUUUUGCUACUUUUCUCUCUGCUCUUCGUGUUUGGACUUUCUUGGAUAUGAAGCCGUAAUGGGGAGUGAGGCUAUGGGAUGACGAGACAGUGAGGGAUUUGGACUCCUUGAAUCCGUUUAUCCUGUAAAGGCUACUAAGGGCUUGGUAGAUCAAUGUUUGAGCAUAUGAACAGAGAGUGGUCUACACCGGGGAUACCAUUAUUGCCAGUGAUCCGUGUGGCAGAGGUUAGUGGGCUGUAGAGAGGGGAUCCUUUCUGACGGAGCAAAGGAACAAGAGAUGAAUUCAUGGGUUUUCUGAAUUGUUUUCACUAAGAAGGAGUUCACCCAGUACUCUUAGGCCUAAGAAGCUCGGCAUUUCUUUGCAAACAUAAGAAGCACAGGCUGGAACUAUGGAGGCCAUAGGUUUUACAUGGUAAAAAAGUGGGUUGACUGAGGAAUUGAGAAAGAAAUAAAGCAAGCAAAGCCGUCAUCGAAUGACGCCGGCGGCGAAGCGCCUCCACUUUGACUACGUCGUGCCCUCAGUUAUCGACUCUAACCACCGCUUCUCUAGUCUACGCGUGUCGCCGGAAGACUUGACGCUGAUCGUUUCUCUGCCUCUCUUUAUUUUCGGCUCUGUCAGGGGUCGAAACUCAUCCUCCGCUGGCGAUUGCGACGAGUGUCUCUCCUAGCUUAAGCCUCACGAUCAGCUUCGGCUGUUCCUGAUCUGCCGUCACGCUUCCCAUGCUCUAUACAUCAACACGCUGCUGGCAUCCAGUCAGGCAUGUCCUUGUAUCGUGUUCCGCAGGGAAUUCUGGGCCUGAUCUGCUCACUGUGGUGAGUGUCGCGCCAUGGAUUUUAACUGAUGGUGUCCCGACGAUUGACAAGAAGUUUUCCGGUGGAUGUGGUUCUUGGCGACGGAAGAAUCUUCGGUGGUGUGUCUAUGUACUUCGGCGAUCCUCUAAAGGACACUAAUCUCCCCAUUAGUUUACGCUGGUGACUGUGGAAGCAGAUUCCGCUUCAUCGGAAAACCCAAUCCUUCUCAAGUGCCUGGAAAAGCAGUCAUUUGUGAUCGGAACUUCACCUCGGCGCCCAAAGUCGCAGCGUUCUCCAACUGGUUUAGACAUCGACGAGAGACAAGUUGAUUUUAAUAUAAUUUCUGGCACGUCCAUUGCAUGUCCGUACGUGAGUGGAAAUAGCGACUGUGGCAGUGUACCCAAACGGCUUCACCACUCUCAAGCAUGAUGCUCUGAGAGUUGAAUUGAAAUGGAGGGGCGUUCUCAUAUUGCAAUUGUUGUUCCUAGAACUGAUGAGUCAAUCAGUAAAUUGGUUCAGCAACCUCAGAAGUUAAUAGAUCUCCGUGAGGUUCGCGAUAUUACUCAUAUGCCAUUUGCAGAAAGAGAUGACUGAAGGGAAACGGGUUCCUCUGAAUAUUACUAAAUUUGAUUAUGAAUGUUUGAGAAAGACCGCUGACAGUCAAGCAUAUUAAGGGGAUCCAUAUAAAGAAUUGUGGGUGUCCUUUGUUGACCGAGUUGGUCUUAGUCACAGAUAUCCUCAUCCAUGGCUGCUGAUAUAUCUCCUAAUUCUUCUUGAUGCUGCGGAAGAUAUUGUUGAAAUAGGAAAAACUGGGUGGAGAGAUCAAUUGUUACUCUGAUUUGAUUUUGGAUUGAAAAGGGAUGGGUUCAUUCAUGGAGCAUGUUCUGCCAGGAACGCUGUUUCUAGCAGUGAGUUUGUGGCACAUAUGCAGCGCAGUGGUGAGAUUUGUGAUGAACCCAAAGGGGUUUCAGGUUCGGGUUUUGAACCCAGUGUCUGGUUUUGAUGGAAGGCUUAGAUACUUGGAGCUUUAUGUGGUGGCAAUCGGAGCUUUUAUUGAUAUGUGCAUAGAGUUUUUGUAUUCAACUCAUCUCAAGUUCUUUGUGAAUGGGGUCUUGAACCCAUCUCACACGAAUGACUUUGAGCACUCUGGGAUGCUUCUCAUGUUCUUUAUUUUCGGGGUCGUCGCCUUGUUCUCCCAGCAAACCGGGCUUGUUCAAAACUGAAUAACCAAUGCUCAAUAGCCUUCACAUAGCUCCAUUCUGCCCUCACAUACUUCCAGCGCGUGACUUGUUUGAAUGAGAGCGACUUUUAUUGCCAAACAGUUACUUGGGGAACCGGUGACGUUACUCCUAUUGCAGGAUUGCUUGGCAAAUCUCAAUUCCAGAUUCACUUAGGAGGGAUCCUUGGCUGCUAAUUGGAAGGCUUCAAGACAGAAGGAAGCGAAGAGUGAUGAUACCAGGGAAGUGACUCAAUUAUCUACUCUACACUUGCCCGCUCAUGGCCCCAAAAUCUCAGAAGUGGUCAAGAAGUUGGAAGACUGCAUGUUCUGAAAUUGACCUAGCCUUUCAAAUCGGGUUCCCUACAUUGAAAUAAGAAGCAGUAGCAUGAGUUAUCCUCCAGAAUGGCUCUAUUCUCUGCAUGGUGCAUGGCCACCUUUGGGCCACAGUGCCAUUUCCCAUUUCACCAUCUCUAAUUUUGAAAAAUAUUCUUUUAAAUCCCAUUCUUCAAAUAAUUUUCUAGAUUUUAGUUUGUUUUAAAAUAAUUUCAAACUCGUCCACUUUUCAUCUUUAGUUUCUUUUUCUUAGAUUCCAAAAAUCCAUUUUUCCAAUAAAAUUUUGCUACCACUUUUCUUCCUAGCAAGCCAUUUUCAUAUCUCUUCUGUUUUUUUUAAAUUGUUUUGAAAUAAGCAAGAAUUAAUUCCGUAAUUCCGAAUAAUGGAAUUUAUGGAAUUAAUUCAUGCUAAGAUAAAUGGGCUUUGGUGGGGGCCCAACAUAUGAGAUUUUAUGAUUGAUUGACUGAUUGAUUGAUUCAUUAGCUAUAUGUGAUUGAUUUAUUCUGUUCCUUGGUAUACACAUUAUCCUUCUGUGUUUGUUCACUAACCCUGUUUCUGAUAGCACGUUACGGCUCGUGGCCCCGGUACGCACUCUCUAUACCUAUUCUGUUUCUCAUAUGUGCAUAAUUGAUUCGAGUAUUCAUUGCUUUCCUCAUCAAUUGCCACAUCAGCUUCAUUUUAUUAGUAGAGACCCGAUUUUAGGGACUUAGAGGGGUGCUAUGGUCUUUACCGUACCUUCCCGAUAAGUAACCUGACCCCCGAACCCGAUCCGGUUUUUCGUAGAUCACCUUUUCCAAAUAAGGAGUCACACUUAGGGUUUUUCUUUCUUAUUUUGUUUACCCUUUUAAAAAUAAAACAAAAAUACAGCUAAAAUCGAGCUCGCCAUUGAGUGGGAAACGCAUUGAGAUAGAUCGAAAUGCGGGGUCCACAACGCGUUCUUUUAUUCUCUUUAGUUUUAUAAAAAAGAUGGUAAAAAUGUAGUGAUCUUCUUUUAGUUUCUGUUUUAUAAGUGAGAGGGGACUAAGAUAGUAUUUAUUUUUUGACUGAAUAUAAAAAAUCAAAAUAUAUACAAAUUUACUUUAAUUAUAUUGGACGAUGUUAAUAGGUUACUUUUAGCUAAAUAAAAAAAAAAUCAAAACCUUAGAAAAAUAUUUUAAGUUUUAUUUACUCAAAUCAAUGUUUCCAAAAAUAUCCUUAUUGUCAAAACUGACUUAAAUGAAAAAUAAAUAAAAAAAUAUAAGCAAAAAACAAUUUAAUAGUUUUUAAAAAUAUUAUUAAAUCAUCAUUUGGUUCCCUUUUAUUCUGUCACUUUAAUUCUUUAAAACUAAAUUUAAUUCUUUUAUAACAAUAGAACAUAGGGGCCUAAGGUUGGAAAAUGACAAUUUACCCUAUUUGAAAAAAGAAAAAUUAUAUAUUCAUUUCUAGCCAAAAACAACUUUAUAUGUAAUUGUCAUUUUUUAUCAACCCCCACCGCUGAUGCAAAAGCCUUAACCUUGAAUGGAAUUUUAAUUUCAAAGACAUUUAGCACAUAGGAUAAAAAUUGUGCAUUUCAAUGAUCAAAGCUUCAUAUCUUAAAAGGUAGGUAAAUUUUAAAAUUCAACUAAGUUAUGUCUUCAAAAGACAAUAUUUAAUUGGAUUCUUUCGAGGUGUCAUAGAAUUAGAAAUAUUUUUUGAAUUAUUAUAUUUUAAAAAAUAUAUUUUUUUAAAUUGCCUUACUUUGUUCAAAAUGCCAAGAAGCAGGCAUAGGAACUAUAACAAAGCUCCAUCUCUAUUAGGGUACCAGAGAGGAUGAAUUGAAAAGGCUAGGAAAAUCUAAUUCCAGAAACUUCUACUUGCAUAAGAUACAGAGUGACUACAGAAUAUGCUCAAUGGCAUAGACAAGGAGGCCACACAUGCUUGCUUAUUUAGAUGGUGCAACAUGACAAUGAAAACUAGCAGGACCAGAAAUUACCUCUCACACAAACUGGUCAAGGUACUCAUCCACAGUUGUGUAUUUGACAUCGGGAUAUAGCUCUGAAGCCUCCACUCCAAAUGAUGGCUUGAUCUCAAAGUUGGUGUGGUCUCCCUUAAUGAAAACAGAGUGACUGAUAGAUAAUAUCACAUUGAGUGGAAAAGAGGCUUCUGCAAGAAACACAGGAAAAGCCAUUAAUUUGAAGAUAUUUGUCAUCAUUAAGAUUAUGUUUGGUUUCCAAAAAAUUUGAGGGAAAAUGCAAGAAAAGAAAAUAGAGAGGAAAAGUGGAAAGAAAAAAAAAGAAAAAAAAUAAAAAAAAUGGAUUCAAAAUCAAUAAAUUAUUUUUAAAUGCUAUUUCAAACUCAUUUCACCCAUUUCCCCCUAUUAUAUAAAGAUUAAACAAUUUUAAAAUGUAUAAAUUUUUAAUUAAUUUUAAUUAUAAUUUAUUUUCUUUCAUAUUUUCUAUAAUGAAACCAAGCAUGAGAAAACUAUUUUCUUUAAUAUUUUUUUUAUUUCCUUAAUACUUUCCGAGAGCCAAACAUAGUCUAAAAGAUCAACUAUAUAAACAGGGGCCAAAAAAUGGCCUCAAUGGUAAAAAAAUUAUCCUAUGUAGGAACCUUCCCAAACUUAUUUUUCAAACUAGAACUCUUGAUGCCAUCUACGCCCCAUUUUUAUUUUAUUUUUUUCCUUUUUAGUCAUAAGUUGAAAAUGCAUUUCUGAUUUUAUAAAGAAGUCAAAUUUUGAGCAAUGGUUUGAAACAUGACCCAAACUCAAUAUUAUUUGACCAAAACAGGCCUUUUUUUUAUCCAAAAUUCAUAUAAACACGUAAUGCUUGCAAGUUCAACCAACUCCUCUUUCUUUCUUUUCUUUUAUUCCCUUCAUUUUUCAAAUCCAUUGAGCAACUGCAAAUUGUUAGUCUGUCAUAUGAAUCUCUAAGGAAGACCCUAAUUGAGGUCUGGGGCACGAUCAAAUGAUUUUACCAGCAGGCCACCUAAUAUUUUCUAAGUUAAAACAAUUGAAUCAAGAACCAAUUUCAUUUUAACAAGGUAGCAUAACGAGAAUGUUUCAUUCCCAAUCUCUAUUCCAAUUUAAAUUAACUAGGAAAACCAAAGUAUGAACACUUUUAAAAAAAGAAAAUAUUUCUCACUAACCUUGGAUGUUCUUCAGAACUUGCUCCUCUGGAACAUAAAUCUUCUCAAGGGUUUUUCCAAUCUUCUUUUCCCAUAAGGAGAGAAUUUCGUUGAAUGAGUAGGUGUUCUGAGGAGGCCUGAUGUAAAGGAUUUUGUUCAAGGCUCUAGGAUCAUCCGCAGCUUUAAUAGUAUAGGUGCCAAUGUCAUCCUCCUUGUUAAAAACAGCUGGAGAUGCAAAAAUGAAAUGAGUAAAAUAAAGUAGAAUCAUCUUCUCAUUCCUUCAAGCUUGGACUACUUGGAAAUUCCACUUUUUUUGUUUGAAGAACACAAACUUGAAAUUAUUUUGAUGUGAAACCAAGUUAUUCUUUUUCAUUUAAUGCUUAUGUCAAAAACUCUCAGCUGGAAAGCAACCCAAGAGGACUGUCAAUAUAAAAAAGAGGCUUUAGCCCAUCCAGUUCAGUUUAAAAUCAAAUAAUAAUGAUUAAUUACUAAAAAUGCAUAAUGGUCCCUUCAGUUCAACCACUCCAGGCCACAUGGAUCAUGCUAGUUUCCUGGAUUAUGGCUCACUUGUAAUGUAGCACCCAAGCAGUUGACCUCAACUGUUGGAAGGUUUUGUUUCUGGGUGAACAGGUUUAACCAGCUGGGGAAGGGGGGAGUGGAGAGGGGUUGUCCAGGUUUCAAAUAGCCACAUUCUGAUUUUCAGGAAUACGGACCAUUCUCACCUCAACAACACUGGCAAACCCAUCAAUUUUUCUGCCUGGAGAAGAUAAUAUGCAGCUAUUGGUUGGUGAAAUGGUAAAUUAACACUCUCAAAAGGAUCCCAUGCUCAUUUACAUAACCCACUGAUUAGUAUUACUUUUUAAGCCCACUAUCAUCAGAUGUCACUGAUUAUAUGAGCCAGUGCAUUCUAACAUCAAAAGGAGAAAAUGCAAUGGGAAAUUCAGUUGUUGGAUGAUUUUCAGAGGUUGCUUACCUUUUGGAUUCCCAUCUCCCAAAAUAAUAACUUUAUCCCUGGGGGGAGCGGUGGCUCCAGGCUGUGAUAAUGUAGGAAGGAAAAAGCCAGCAAAGAAGUUGGAGGACACAUAGGUGUAGGGAAUUCCUUCAGCCUCAAUAGUUCGGCGGAUUUGAGCCUUUAUCUCAAAUGCUGUUUUUGCUGGCCCAACCGCAUGGACACGGUCCACAUCAUUUCCAAACUCUGAUGGGAAGAAUCUCUGGAUGAAAUAAAACACUUUAAGAAGUAGCUGUAUAACUCAAUAGAUUGAAAAACCAGUCAUAUCUAUUUAGUCAUAUUAGCUCACAAACAGGGAUCCCAUAUGGGAUACAAGUGUUCAAAUAAAGACAUAAAAUUAGCAAUUCAUAUUAUGGAAGGAAAAAGUGCACUGAUCAGGAUGCUUAAAAAGUGAAAGAAAAAAC